UUCACUUGAAAGUACAAUGAUGUGAUAGAAUGAAAAGAAAGUACAACACUAUAAUAUACAAAUAAAAGAAAGUAUGUUUUUUUUUUUUUAAAUUGUUUUUUGAAUUGGCGAAAGGUAAGGAAAAGAUGGACUAUACUUAUGCACCUGGAAGGAAUCAUUUGUUUGUUCCGGGACCCGUGAACAUCCCGGAUCAAGUACUUCGUGCAAUGAACCGAAACAAUGAAGACUANACUUGAAAGUACAAUGAUGUGAUAGAAUGAAAAGAAAGUACAACACUAUAAUAUACAAAUAAAAGAAAGUUGUUUUUUUUUUUUUAAAUUGUUUUUUGAAUUGGCGAAAGGUAAGGAAAAGAUGGACUAUACUUAUGCACCUGGAAGGAAUCAUUUGUUUGUUCCGGGACCCGUGAACAUCCCGGAUCAAGUACUUCGUGCAAUGAACCGAAACAAUGAAGACUAUCGGUCUCCAGCAGUUCCCGCUUUGACUAAAAUUUUACUUGAAGAUGUGAAGAAGAUUUUCAAAACCACUUCGGGGACCCCUUUUCUCAUCCCAACUACAGGUAUAUUAUUUUCUUUUCUCUAGGGUUAAAUAUCAACAUAUAGUUACUUAUUGCAAUAUUUUGGGUUAGGUACGGGUGCAUGGGAAAGUGCACUUACAAACACCUUGUCUCCUGGAGACCGAAUUGUGUCAUUUGUGAUUGGACAAUUCAGUUUGCUUUGGGUGGAUCAACAGCAACGACUUGGGUUCAAUGUUGAUGUGGUGGAAAGUGAAUGGGGUGCGGGUGCUAACUUGGAAGUUUUAGCAUCAAAACUGGCUGCAGAUACUGCGCAUACUAUUAAGGCUGUCUGCAUUGUUCACAAUGAGACUGCCACCGGAGUUACAAACAACUUGGCUUCCGUAAGGAAAAUACUUGGUAAAAUCAUUUUGCUUUUUUUAGUUUUUUAUCGCAUCAUAUUCAUAUUAUUACAUCCAUCUAAACUCGCCUUCUUAAUUAUUUUGUUUUAAGCGACUUAAUAUGGUAAGUUAAGUGAAAGAGAUGUUCCCUUAUUUUCUAUCUUUUGUUAUUGGUCAACCUCUAACAUUAGUAUGGUAAAAUCCAGGAAAAUAUAAUUUACUUUGUCAGUUCCUGUUUAACAACUUUAUCGAUUUAAUCAUUUAACUGUUUUCUAUAGUAAAUAAACGAUUAUACUUUUUUACUGUCAUUGUUUUUAUUAUUGUCAUUAGGAUGAAAUAAUAUUAUCUCUAGAAACAAGUGGUUUAAAUUUUAAAAGUCCUUUUUCUUGUACUUUGUAACUUUUACUAGCUCCUUGAUAGUUGUUUUUCAAUAAAUUUGGGUGGCUGUUUAAAAUAAAAAUUACAAUUUAUAACAAUCAAUAAUAAUAAUGUUUUUUAAUUUUGAAUGGUAACGUAUAAUGGUUUAUUUACUACAUAUAAAAUAGUUAACUUCUUAAUCAUAAAAUUAUGACAGUAGGUAAUGAUUUUGUAUAUUAUACAUUUAUUUAUACUGAUACCAAAAUUUGGUAACAAGGAAAAAUAGUAAUAAUUUAGAAUAGUCAAAAAAAUAUGUAAUGAUUUAAUCACACUUGAGAAAACAGUCAACUGAUGCAAUCGACAGAUGGUAAUUAAGUACGCUGUGAUUUUUUGUAUACAUUACCGGUAUAAAAAUAAAAACGGGUUUUAAACGGUAAAAAGUGUAUGAUCACCACAGAUUAAUCGAUAAAUGGUUAAUUAAAAUACAUUGUCCUUUUCUUAAUUUUUGUGUAUUAAAAUAGUAUUUUGUUGGGUAAGUAAUAAGUUUUGUAAAUUUGGUAAUAUAUAUGUUAGAUCACUACCAGCACCCGGCCCUGUUUCUAGUUGAUGGGGUGUCAUCAAUAUGCGCUUUGGAUUUCCGCAUGGAUGAAUGGGGUGUAGAUGUGGCUUUAACCGGUUCUCAGAAAGCACUUUCCCUUCCCACCGGUAUGGGAAUCGUGUGUGCGAGCCCUAAAGCCAUCGAGGCCUCUCAAACUGCAAAAUCACUUCGAGUUUUCUUUGACUGGAAAGAUUACUUGAAAUUCUACAAAAUGGGGACUUAUUGGCCCUACACUCCUUCCAUUCAGCUUCUCUAUGGCCUAAAAGCUGCCCUUGAUCUCAUCUUUGAAGAAGGCUUGGAUAAUGUUAUUGCAAGGCACAAUCGUCUUGGCACUGCCACAAGGUAUAUAAAUUAUUUACAUUAAUAUCAACAAACUUAACUUUCUAUUUACUUUAUAGUUUAUACUACUAAUAAAUAAAUAUGUAUGUGUAAUGAAGGCUGGCUGUUGAAGCAUGGGGGUUGAAAAACUGCACCCAAAAGGAGGAAUGGUUCAGUGACACAGUCACAGCUGUGGUUGUUCCUCCAUAUAUUGAUAGCUCUGAAAUUGUUAGAAGGGGAUGGAAAAGAUACAACUUAAGCUUGGGUCUUGGCCUUAACAAAGUAGCUGGAAAAGUCUUCAGAAUAGGACAUCUUGGCCAUGUUAAUGACGUAAGCAUACAUACAUACAUACAUGCAUAUGUCUAUCGAUGUUACAAAAUUAAGAAUUAAUAAAUGAAUGUGUGUGUAGUUGCAACUGCUGGGGUGUCUUGCGGGGGUGGAGAUGGUGCUCAAGGAUGUGGGAUACCCGGUGAAGCUGGGGAGUGGAGUGGCUGCUGCUUGUGCAUAUCUACAGAACAACAUUCCCAUGAUUCCAUCAAGGAUUUGAAUUCUGUCAGUGUCACUGUCAGUGUCAAUUGUGUUUAUGUAUGUAACUACUGCAUGCUACUCCUCUUCUUCAAUGUUGAUUUGCUUCAAAUUAAUACCUUUGUAAAGAACACUUAAAUAUCCUACUUUACUUCAAUCAUCUUCAUUUGUAAAUUCUUGUUUUCUCAUUACAUCCAUGAAUAUGCCUUUGAGUUGAAAAAUUAUGUGUGACCAAAUUCAAAUCUAUAUCAACUACCAUCACCCACACAAUAUUAAAUGUGAGCUUGUUGCUUGUUAGUACAAGAGGUUUUGACAAUUGACCCACUAUGGAAGUGAGACUUGAGAGUUGAGAGCCUACUCAUAUAGAAAAUCGAUGGGCUUAGUUAGAAAAGCUCUUUGCUAUUAUCAAUAUAAAUCUAUUGGUUUGCAAAAUUAGGGCGAUUAGUAAACGAUUAUAGUGGGAUGAUCAUAAUUAAGAACAACAUGACACCUUACUAUUUGGACUGAAAGUGUUGUGAAUCUCAUGAUUAAUUGGGUCUCAUGAUUAACAUGGUCGAUGCAUUACAACCAAAUCCCCUCAAGAAUCCUAGUGCCAACCUAUUUAAGUGGAGUCUUUCCUCACUUUAAGGGGGUUGAGAGGCAUUGAUAUUCAUACUUUAAGGUUUAGCAAUCCAUUCUUUGCACUUUAUUGGUUGGAUGUUGAUUCUUGCAUGUGUCUAUUAGAUGGAAGCUACUUUGGUUCCUAUACCAUACAUGGAGUUCAACACUACAUCAUCCAAAGUACACCUCAAUCUAAGUUUUACUAUAAAACACAAUAUGGUAGUGAUUGUUGCUUAAAUACUCUCAAGGAUUAUUGAUAAGAACACUUUUGAGGACAUAAUCAAAUGUAGCUUAAUGCUUGCAAUUAAUCGAAAGAAAGCCUGAAAUUCGAGACUCAAGAGGAUCUCCAAAAACGAAAAUAAGGUUCUAAAUCUUCUACCACCGAGAGGUCGGCUCCCUCUCUACUUAGUCUAACGCUAGCUGAAAAUUAGGAAGCAAAUACUUCAAAUGAAAGCAUAAUCCAAAAAGAUACAUAUCAAAAUUAACUAAUGAUGUUUUUUUUAGCAAAAUAACUAAUCGCCCCUUUGCAAUUUCUUUCCACGCCUCUGAUAAGCUUUGGCGACCCAGCCCAUUCAUAUCAACCCCCCCUCUUUAUGAAAAAUCACCUGGAAAUCGGUGUUGAGUAUCCUCACGUUCCUCUCAUGUAGUUCAAAUGGAAGCUCGAUAAGCACUUGUUGUCACUAACCACGUUGGUGUCAAGAAAGAAAGGCACGAAUACUAAGGUGCUGUUUGGUUUUUUUUUUUUUUUUUUUUUUUUUUUUUUUUUUUAAAAAAAAACCUCUUCAGAUUUUUUAUUGCUACUGGACGCAACACACACCAAACACUUUUAAUCUCGUAGUUGUUUGUUUUUUAGAAGUCUUCAGAGUAAAAAAUCUCAGUGCGUGUUCUGUUUGGCGCAUCACUUGUAUUGCCUCUUUCAACCACUUUUUUUAUUUUUUAUUUUUUUUUUGCUGAAAUCUUUAUUAUAUGUUGCUGAAAUAUUCUUUUACAUUUUUUUUUCGUUUUUUUAUAUUAAAUAAUAAUAAUUUCUUGAUGAACAUUAUUAUUUUUUUUGCUAAAAUAUCUUUAUUUUUUUGUUGAAAUAUCAUUAUUUUGUUGAAAUAUCAUAAAUUAUUGCUAAAAUGUCAUACAUUAUUAAAUUUUCGGUAUUAACAAAACUAUUUUCGAUUUAUAAAAUCAAUUUAUUUUAAUUUUUAAUAUCUGCAGCAGCAUGUAGAUAUUAAAAAAACAAACACGUUUCUUAUUAUAAUAUGCAGCCGUUUGGUCCACCUCUUCUACUGUAGAGGGUAGCGGAGGUGGUCCACAGACUUCAUGAAUUUUUUAUUAAAAAAACAAACAACACCUAAAUAAGUUUUGGAAGGAUUUUAUUUUAUUUUAUUAAUUGGUCUUUAUGUGGCCAAUAUGCUAAUGCCAGUUUUAUAUGUUUACUAUACUAUGAACGUGUUCGACAAAAAUAGCUGGUAGCGUGUAACGAGUAGCGUUUGAUUUUGGAGAGUUUUGUUCAAAGCUUCUCCAUGUAGCUUUUGAUUUUGGAACAUUUUGUUUAAAGUAAAAACUAAACGCUCCUGUUGUUGCCGAACGAAGUUUGUUUUUUUGUUUAUUUUUUUUAUACAAGUGUUUUCUUAAAAACUAGAAGCCAGAAGCUCCUAAAUGCCACGUGCCGAACACGCCCAAGUAUUUCUUGAAGCCUAUGUUUGAAGGAGAGAUUUUUUUGAUAAAACUAUAAAAGUAAUAUUUGUUUGAGUAGAGUCGCUCUAUAUCAAAAUUGUCUCGUUGAUUGUCUUUUCUUUCCCGUUUGUAGUGUGUUUUUCAUUGUAGUUGCAUCACACCUUCUUGAGCUACGACACAUGGAAAACUGGGUGAAUGGAAGCGAUGGACGACAAUAAACUGAGUGGGCCAGGUUGGAAAACCUGGCGAGUACAUAGGGAUUUCAAUCCCACAAUGUGAUAAUAAUGUAUAUCUCAAACCUGCAAUCCAACUAUUAUCAUUAACCCAUAUAUCAUAUCUUUUAAAACAAUUUAUCCUAUCUCGUCGAUUCCCUCGUAUAAAUCCUAUACAACAAUCUUACAAGAUCUAUCCUAAAGGAUCAAUAUGAACAACAAUCUGACGACGCUGUUUUGGAAAUUCCCUGACAGCAAACGAGGAUCAAUAAGUACAUCAAAUGAGGGGAAUGGAAUAAGUUUCACCAUGAACCUCCGUUCGUAAAAACAACAAGACAAUUAAGUCAGGGGUGGUUAUCUAGAUUACUGUGCCUAGCAAUGGUAUGAGAUCAUGAGCUAUUUUACCCCAAAACUCACCCUAUCCAGCAAUACAACAUCAUAUAUACCUAGUAGUGGUCUAUUGCUGACACACUAUAUUAGGCAGUCUACGAAGUUCCCUCAAUUACUUCAUGAAAGGAAACUCUGACACAUGAAGCUCGUCUGAUCACUUCAUAAAAGAAACGAUGACUCCAAAGCUCUUCAAAAUAAAAAGUAUGGGUAAAUACUAAUAAAGUACUCCCGUACGCUCCCAUACCCAGACACACAAUAGUGUCAAAAAAGGACUUUGUACAUGAUAGUACUUCUGGCAUAUUAUAGUACCCUAUUAUGAGUAGGACUCGUACCCUAGAACAUAAUAAUACCCCAACACAAGCAGCACCUAAAACACAGAGUUUUGUAAAAAGAAUUGGUACAUAGAAAGUACUUUUGUACGUAGGACAUACUCCAUCGAUCAUCAAUCUCCUCGAACAGAGUUUAUACUCUCUAUUCCGAUCACACACAUACCGUUAAUAAGAUACUACCCAAUAUCCAAACUUAAUUGAACUAAGCAUCUCUUUUAAGUCUUAUUUCAUCACUAAGCAAGCCUACAAUGCUUAUAAUCAACUUUCAAUACUAACUCUGUUUCGGAAACACUAUCUAAAUUUAGUCUACUAUUUUAUACAGAGUAUUAAGUAUUAACAUACAUUUAUCUUCUCAUUUAUAAUACUUCUAUUAUUAGUAUCUUGUAAAUACAUCUCAACACAUAUAGAACCAUGCCUGGUUCGUAUAGCGUAUAUCAUCAAAUAUACAUAUAACACAAAUUUCCAGAUAAUAAUCAUAUAACUCACAUAUAAAAUUUCAACAUAUAUUUAAUACUUUUAUUAAUACUUGUAUUAAAAUCAUGUUCAUGAAAGGGACUAUGCACUCACUUGUUAAAUUGAUGACUCGAAAUUCAGACAACGAUUCGCUUCUAGCAAUUGCCUUUUUCUGUUGACGAAACCUAGUAUUAUUAUCACUAAGUUUUAGUCUAAGAUUGCGACUAAUUAGUAGUCUAGAUUCAUCAUUAACUCAAAGUAUACUUUCAUGAUCUAUCAAUUAAGGAACAACCAGGUAGGAUCAUAUCAGAGGUAGGGUCCAUUUGGUAUACGAAGUAUACUGUUUGGAAAUCCCACUUUAAACACCUUACUAAAUCACAACCUAGACAUCAUCCAUGUAAGUAGAUCAAUCAAUAUAACGACUUGGAAUCACUUAUAAAUCUUGUUUAUAGUUUCAUAAUAAUGAUAAUGAACUUAAACAUAAGUUAUACUUAAAGUAUGGUAGCCAUAACUCACUUACAAGGGGGUUUAGCAAAGAACUGGGCUUUGCGCGGACAGAACUUCUGAGGCGAAAGAUCUUCUUCUCAGGGCCUUCUGGCGCUCCGGGACUCGCUUCUAGAACCUAGUAGGUUAUAGGGAAAAAUUUGGAAGGGUUGGGGUGUUUGGGAGAGAAGGUUUGAGAAAGUGUGAAGAAAAAUGAGUGAUCCGCGCCUCUAUUAAUAGGCUGGGAAAUUGGGUUACGUGGGACGUAACUGAGAUGUACGUUGGGCGUAAUCGAUAUACAGGGGGUACCAAGCCCUACGCUGGGCGUACCGGCUCCAUGUAUAAGCAUCACAUGCGAAACCAUGGGGAGGAAGGUGUGACUGAGAUGGUGCCACGUGUCACCUUCGGAACUUAACCCCAAAAUUAAUUAUCUUCCAAAUUCUAUAACUUUCACAUACGAGCUCAAUUUUUGACAUUAUUUAUUUCCACGCGUAGGUAGCGAAGUGAUCUACAACUUUCGUUUAGACUCCAUUGGCUAAUUUUGACUUUAUUUUUAAAGUUAUAUUUUAACAGACUUAAACAGUUAAAGUCCGUUAAAAAUUCAUAACUUUGUCAUUCGACGUCCGUUUUCGAAUUUCUUUAUAUCGUUGAGCUCCUAUUAACGAGAUAUUCAAUUAUCAUUUAGGUUGUGUCGGCUAAUAAUCGAUCGAUCUGAAAUUCGAUUUUCGGGCUGUGAACUGCUUUGCUAAAUCUUAGAAAAAUCAUAACUUCCUCAAACAAAGUCAGAUUUGGAUGUUCUCUAUAUGCACACUCUCAGUUUAACAUAUACUAUGACUUUCGUUUAGAUCGCUAGGGCUAAAAAGUAUUUUUUCAAAAAUUUUCUUUUUACGAUACUCCGCGUCGUGCUGGUUUUGUCGCAAAACUUCGACGGGUCAUAACUUCUUCGUUUUAAGUCGGAUUUCAGCGUUCUUUAUAUGUAUGAAAUCCUUGUGACAUAUACUAUAACUUUGGUUCAGAUUAAUUACUCUAAAUAAUCUUCUAUCGAAAACUCAUUUAUAACGCUUAUUGUCUCUAAAUUGACUAGCCCGAAUCUGCAGGCGUUACAAAAAUAAACUCACAAAACACUGUCUCUAUCUGACACAUGAAAUGUUAUGUAAGCAAAGUACUUCCAGGAUAAUGAUCACAAAUAUAGACAAAACCAUGAAAUGGUGAUUAAGGGGUAUAAAAUGGGCUGAUUUGCUCAAGCGAUCCACGAACACAAAAAUUACACUAUACUUCACCGAUUUUUGUAACCCUUCAAUAAAAUCCAUACACAGAUCUUCCCAAAUCUAUUCUGGUAAUGCUAACGGUUGCAACAGACCCACCGACACCAAGUUUGAGUACUUGUUGCAUUGGCACACUGCACAUUCCAAGAUGAAUUUGGCCACAUCCUUCUGUAUUCCGACCUUAAAGAAUGCUUUCACGAGACGUUGAUAUGUUAUUUGCAUGCCAUCGUACCCCCCGGUCACCCCCAUUGGAAUUAUUGAAAUAAACGUACCACCUAUUUAGAUGUAUGCGAAAGUACUAAGUGAACCUUGUAGCGCACAUGCCCUCUUAGAAAUGACAUAGCCGACCAUAUAUUUGCUAGGGGUUUCUAUUUUUUUUGGAUAGUGGCCAAUUUUGGUUCGUUAAGAAAGUUGGAUAGAAGUUUACUCCCGUGGCUAAUCUCGGACAACGUGAGUUCCGCCAUGGAUACCCCCACCCCGUGCCUGGAUAACACGUGGCUACCCUGUUUUCUUUUCCCAAACGAUAUAUAAUCUUGAAUUCAAAUCUGGACAACUUUGAAAGGCACCAUUUAUGCUCGCCGAAUAUUGAUCGUUGCUCCAACAAAUACUUUAAGUUCUAUUGGUUGGUGGUAACCUUGAACCGACACCCAAGCAAAUAAGUCCGCCACUUUUGAACCGUUAUCACUAUUUUCAUCAACACUCGCUUAUGAACUGAAUUGAGUUGGGUGUGGGUUCCAAAGACCCGACUAAACCAAGCCACAAGUCUGUUUUAUUGCAUACGAGUUGGUCCUACACCAUAACCCGAGGCAUCCGUCCCGAUCGUGAAUGCUUUAGCAAAAUCUGGUAAAUUUAACACUGUUACCAACAUCAUUGCUUAUUGUGACUACCGAAAAGCUGGUGAUGCUUCGUCAUUCCAACUAAAUUUGUCUUUCUUGAGUAAGAUAGUCAACGGUUUGACGAUCCUUCCAUAACCUUACACAAAAUUUUGAUAAUAACCUAUUAGUUCUAAAAACCCACUCAACUUACCUAUUGUCUUGGGCAUAAGCCAUUCCAACAUAGUUAAAAUCUUGCUUGGUUCAGCUGCCAAUCCCUGCUUGUCACCACAUGCCAUAAAUAGUCAACUCGAUUGGAUCAGCUGCUAAUCCCUGCUAAUCCCCACAUGUCACAAAUAGUCAACCCGAUUUCGACCGAAUACACAUUUUUUCUAUUACAGAAUAGGCUCUCGGCCCUAAGACUUUCGAACACCAUCCUUAUGUGUUGCUGAUAAUCUUCCAUGGUUCUGUUGUAUACAAGAAUAUCGUCAAAGAAAACAAGCAGUAAUUUUCUGAGGUAAGGAAGAAAAAACUUAUUCAUGAAAGAUUGAAAUGUCAAAGGAAAUUGUAAUGCCCUUCAUGCGUUCGAAAUUCCUUCUUUGAUGUCUUCUUGUUUCAUGCGAAUGUGAUGGUACCCCGACUUGAGAUCCAACUUGCUAAAAAUCAUUGCUCCAUGUAGCUUGUCGAGCAACUCAUAAAUAAUGGGUCUAGGAUCAUGGAUUUGUUUAAGGAACGGUAAUCCAUGUAGAAAUGCCAACUCCUAUUUUUUUUACUAGUAGAGCCAUACUAGAGAAUGGGUUUGAGCUCAACCGAAUAACCCCCACGGUAAGUAUUUCUUCCAACAAACGCUCGAUUUUUUAUUUUGCAAUUGUAGGUAGCGCUACGGUCAGGUGUUGACAGGUUCGGUGCCCAUUUUCAAUGUAAUGGCAUGUUCGUGACCCUAAGGUGGCGGUAGCUCUGCUGGUAGCUGAAACACGUCAGUAAAUUCUAUCAUUAUUUCGUUAACUGUAGGGUGAACUUGAGAAUCGGUUUGAUCAAUGAAUUCUAGUUGGAGUACUGCUAUCAAAAAACCUUAACUACCCUGAGAUAAACCCAAAGUUCUAAAUAAAGAGAGUCGUGAGCUUGGUGGUGGGCUUGGUGGCAAGGUCAAAGUUAAGUCAUGGCAAGCCAUGACGUUUUUCAAGGCAUGAUUAUUUUAUAUACAUUAAAAAAGAUUAAUUAUAUAAUUAUUGAAUUUUAUCAAAUAUAUCAAGUUUUUAGAAGUGUUAUAUUAAUAUUUAAUAUAAAAAAGGUAACAAAAACUCAAUUAUUUUAGCCUCUAUCAGGAAAAACAAAAAAAUAAAAACCCAAAAAAAAAAAAACAUGCCCACCUUGAAAAGAAUGCGUGCCAUAACACGAUAAGGUACACCUUGACACGUUAUUUGGAUGCCACGAUAAACAAAACCGCCUUGGACAUUUUUGUAAUGACUACACCAUGCCUCGCGCCAUGGCACACCUUGAGGUCCACCAUGGCGCACUUUUUAGAGCCAUAGAUAAACCCCUUACCAAUGUCUGUAAGGACGUUUCUGACCGGUUCAAACCUGGUUUCCCUUGUAAAGUCACCUUGCGCCCCUUGUCCAUGAAUGUCACUGUUAAAUCACACUAGUUAACCCGAGUCUCUCUGAGGGUGCGAAGCCAUUUGAUACCCAAUAUAACAUCAAUACUACCCAAGUCUAGUGGAUAAAAACUGUGCACCAGUCGAAACCCAUGUAAGGUUAAUGUCACGCUCUUGAAACUUCCAACACUCUUGUCAAACCCUCUAUUACCCAAGAUAACACCAUUUUCUUGUGUCCCAUUUCCCAUUUAUGGUAAGCUCUAGCGGUUCAACCAACCGCAAUGAUACAAAAUUAUGUGUGGUACCGCUGUCAGUGAGCACAAUCACUUUGUGUUCACCGAUGAAUCCUCGUAAUUUCAUGGUAUGAGGUGUGGUGAACUUUUAUUAUCUUGAAGAUUUUCAAGGGAACGAUCCCGAUCAGUUUAUUAUUUUGAAGAUUUUCGUGAUUAUUGAAGAAAUUUUCAACUUUUGCAUCUGGAAUUUUUCCGGUUAGUUUUUACUGUUUUGUUGGUGAUGUUGCUUCCAAAAAUAAAGAUUUUGGUGUUAUUGUUUAUACAUUUGCUACUUUUUAUCUAAGUUCUUGAAGACAUUAUAUAUANNNNNNNNNNNNNNNNNNNNNNNNNNUAUAUAUAUAUAUAUAUAAUGAAGAAUAUGAAGUUAUUGUUGAAAAUAGAUUGUUUGAUAUGUUUAUCCCUUGGAAAAAGUUGUUUUGAAAAAGAAAUAAACCUAGUUUUAGGAUAUAGGAUUUAACAUUUUUACUAAGUUUAGAUGUUAAAGCUUUUUAUGGAGUGCAUAAGUUCUUAUAACUGAUGUGCAAAGCUUAGAAGCUAUCAUACGUUGAAUAAAGGAAAUUUAUGAAUGAGUAACAAUCGACAUUGUGCAUUAAUUGUCGUACAACGUAAGGAAUAAAUGCUAACACUCAUGCUUAGGGGUGUCAAAAAAACUCGAACCCGAUUAACUCGACCCGACCCUAACCCGAUUAAGGUAUUUAGGGUCGGGUUUUAUAGGGUCAAAAUUCUUAAUCGGGUUAUUCGGGUUAACCCGACAAACCCGAACUAUAGUUAGGGUCGGGUUUAGGGUUGAUUUUUUUUAUAAAAGUCGGGUUUCGGGUUAACCCGAUUAACCCGAAUAAAAAUACACUACAAUAUUUAUGUAUUUUAUUCCACCUCACAUCUUUUAUUUUUGUACAUUAUGUGGCCUAAAAAAGAGGAAAAUAAGAUGCAACACAAUUGUAGAACAAAAUAUUGAUUUGUACAAAUGGAAAUUAAUAUGUAGCAUAGUAAAAUAAUAUGCAAUGGUAGUUUAUCGUGGCCUAAAAUAAAAAAUACACAGUCACAAAUCAAAUGAAUAAUGCUUUUUAAUUGUAUAGUAUAAACAAGAAAAAUAAACCAUAUACACUCAUAGUCAUUUGGAUUUAACACAUCCUAAUUUAACCUUCUGAAAAUAAACAUUAUUAUAAAUAUGACACAAUAUUUUUGUCUUACAUUGUAACCCGAUUAACCCGACUAACUCGACCCUAUAAACCCGAAACCCGAAUAACCCGUACCUUAAUAGGGACGGGUUCUGGGUGAAAUUAUUUUUAUAAAAAACCCGACUAACCCGACCCGUUUAACCCGAAACCCAAUCGGGUUGACCCGAUUAACAGCCCUACUCAUGCCUACAUUUUUUUACCAGGUCACACCUCAACUUUUACUAGCUAUGAUUUUUACAUGCUUUUUCAGGAAAUAAUUAGUAAGUGGAUAUAAAGAUUCAUCAUCAUAGAACAUGCUGCAUCGUGUUGAAACUAUUAUGAAAUUAUAUUUUGAACAAUGUUGUUUUGGAAAAACUUGUACUUUGUUUCUUUUUAAGCUAUGGGUUGUGAGUUUGUGUACAUGCAACAUUUGUUUUUUAUCAAUUGGUGAUACCCACUUGGUUUCUCAACCAAAAGUAAAAAAACACCUUAUUACCCAACCAAGGCAGUUGCUUUUGACAUAACUCUUUUUUAUUUUGAUUAUUUUUUAUGUUUUUUUUUAUAUUCCAAUUACAGAUCCACACCCAUUCGAACAACUUUUUUUUAAGCUAAUUUUUUGUCUUUCUCGGAUUACCUACAAACCUCAUCCGACCAUCAUUUAUUUAUAUAGAUCAGACUCAAUCUCGGAUCCACAAGAUCCUACCCAUUCUGCUUGGAUUCUUUUUGCUCAUAUUCAUUGUACGAGAAAAAUCCAUUCAAAUUUUUUGGUUUUCUAUUUCGGAUCAAACUAUCCGAACCGACCCACUUCAUUUUGGAUUCACUUCUCUUUAUUGGAUUCACUUUUGCUAAUUUUGAAUGACACAUUUUUUUGUCCCAACAUUUUUUUAAAACCAAUUAAUUUCUUUCUUUUUAUUUUACCCAAUUAUUUCAUUAGAAACAAUUUUUCCUUUUAGCCCCAACCCAAUACCUUUUAGUCUCUAAUGCUCCAUCUGAGGUUAUCAUUAGACCAAAUUUUUUACAAACAAUUUUGUGUUAUGAAUUAUUAUUUAGUGAAUGACUAUUGGAUUCUCCAUAUUCCCCCAUUACUCUCCAUAAUUAGUGAACAUUAUAGCAAACAUUAUUAUGUGUUUUAUGAGUGUAGUUAUGCACCACUAUAAUGAGCAUUCAUAUCAUACAUCACCUUUCAUCUUCUUUGUCUAGUAUAAAUAGUGAAUAUUAUGUAUUAUAAAGUUUGAUGAUUUCAUCACAAGUAUUAGAAUAAAAGCUCUCUCUACUCUCAUGUCUUUCUUUACUCUAUAACUUAUCUUGUUAUUUGAUCAUAUUUUAUAACACGUUAUCAGCACGACUCUACCAUAGAGCUCUAACUCUUUAUCGCUCUCAUUAUUUUCAGGUAUGUAUUUUUUUAUAAGUUUACAUGUACAAUGCUUACAAAUUAUUUUCUGAAAUUUAUUAACUAACAAUUCUUGAGCAUACAAGUCUUUAUUUUGAUUAGUAUUUUCACUAUGAAAAACUAUGUUAUGCUAGAGAAAAUUUUCUCUACUUUCCAUGCCACCAACAUGCUCCUGCAGCAGCAAUAUCGUGAGAAAGAUUUAAAAAGAAUAUAUUAUGAAUUAAUCUCAUUUCUUCUUGUGGCUGAAUAAAACUAUGAACUAUUGAUGAAAAAUCAUCAACCAAUCCCAACCGGUUCUAGUGCAUUCCCUGAAGUGAAUGCAAUAUCAUAUAAUCAUAAUAGUCAUGGGUAUAAUCGAGGUCGUGGAGGUUAUUAUCAUAAAAAAUAACAAGAUUACAAGCAACCACCAGAAGUUGGAAAAUAGCAAAAAUCCACAUCCUAAUGAUAGACUAGGUUAAGGAAAAAAAAAAUUGAAAAUGUUUGUCAUUGAUGUGGAACGACCAUUCAUUGGUCUUGUACAUGCUGCUUACCAAAGCAUUUUGUUGAUCUUUAUCAAACUUCUCUAAAAUCUAAAGAAAAAUAAUAUAUCAAAUUUUUUUUAUUCAAAGUGAUAUUCAUGAAGAUCAACCUGAAAUGACACAUUUGGAUGUUGCCGAUUUUCUUGUCUACCCAGAAGGGACAAGUGGUGAUAUGGAUGGUGAUUGAAGAAUAUUGUGUAGUUUUGUUUCAUGACAUUUAUUAUGUUUUUAUGUCAUAUGUCGAAUGUUUCUUAUGUUUUAUUUAUUUAUUGAAAAGAAAUAUGAAUAUUCGCAAAAGAAAUAAGGAAGAUAUAUUUCUUGCAGACAAUGCAAUAACAUUCUGCUUACUUAUCAAUUAGAGAAGCAAAUGUUAAUAUAAUAACAGGUAAUACAAAAAUGAUUAAAAGCUCCAGAAGAGCAAAUAUAGUAUUACCAUAAGUGACAAUAAUUACAAUUGGUGAUGCAUUAUUUUUAUUAAAAUCACCAAGAAAAUUAUUAAGUUUUAAGGAUAAUCGGUCUAACAGAUAUCCUAUUGAAACAACUAAUGAUGGUAAUAAAAAUUAUCUCAAUAUUACAAAAAUGAUAUCGGAUAAGAAAAGUUUUUUGGAAAAAUUACAUGUAUUGUCCUCCGGAUUGUACUAUACAAAUAUUACAAUGAUUCAUGCUAUUGAAAAUAUUACAAUGAUUCAUGUUAUUGAAAAUAAAAACGGUAUGAUAUUACCUUCAUAGUUUGGCAUGACCGGUUGGGCCAUCCCGGAUCAAUUAUGGUAUAUAGAAUAAAUAAAACUUCAAGUGGUCAUUCCUUGAAAAACCAGAAGAUUUUUCAAGAUAAUGAAUUGUGUUGCAUGCUCUUAAGGAAAAUUAAUUUCCAGUCCAUCAUUGAACAAAGUUGGUUAUGAAAGUCUUAGUUUCUUACAAAGAAUUCAAGAGGAUAUAUAUGGACUAAUUCAUCCAACACUAUGUGGACCAUUUAGAUAUUUUAUGGUUUUAAUUGAUGAGUCAACUAGAUGGUCACAUGUGUGCUUGUUGUCUAGCUGUAAUUUGGUUUUUGCAAUAUUACUUGCAUAAAUAAUCAGCCCAAGGGCACAUUUCCACGAACCCAAUUAAGAUAAUUCGACUUGACAAUGUUGCAAAAUUUUCAUUGCAUGCUAUUAACGAUUAUUGCAUGUCAAUUGGAUUGAACAUCCUGUUACACACGUUCGUACACAAAAUGGUCUAAUUGAUUAAUUAAUCAAACACCAUUAAUUAAUUACAAGACCAUUACUAAUGCAUUAUAAACUUUCUAAUCAACAUAAGGGCAUGCAAUUUUACAUGCAACAUCACUUAUAUGCAUAAUGCCAAUUAGUUAUCAUGAGUUCUCCCCUAUUCAACUGGUUUGCGGUCAGGAACCAAAUAUUUACCAUCCAAGGAUGUUUGGAUGUACAAUUUAUGUACCCAUUUCUCCACCUCACUUCACAAAAAUGGGUCCUCGAGAAGAAUGAGAAUUUAUGUUGGUUAUGAAUCUCCAUCUAUAGUAAAAUAUUUAAAAUCAUCAACUAAAGAUUUAUUUACAGCUAUAUUUGAUGAUUAAUAUUUUGAUGAAUCAUAUUUUCCAACAUUAGGGGGAGAAAUAAAGAAGCUGGAAAAUAAAAUUUCUUGAAAGGAAUUAUCACUUUCAGUUUUAGAUCCUCGUUCAAGUCAAUGUGAACUUGAAAUAAAAAAGAUAAUUCCUUUACAAAAUGUAGCAAAUCAAUUGCCAGAAGCAUUUACUGACCCUAAGUGAGUAACAAAGUCUCAUGUACCAGUUAUACAUACUCCAGUUAGAAUUUAUAUCCUACAAGAAAAAAAAUACAACUACAAAUGAAUCUUAGGCACGCCUGAAGCAUGGAAGAUCAGUCGGUUCCAAAGAUAAAAAUCCUCGAAAAUGAAAUGGAGCAAAUACAAUUGAUGGUCCAAAAGAGAAAACAAAAUCUCUUGAAAAGAUUAAUGAAGCUCUAGAAGAGCCCAAUGACAUAACAAAAGAAUAUAAGGUACCUGGAAAAAAUGAAAAUGAUGAGAUCUCAAUAAAUUAUGUCAUCACAGAAAUAAGAUGGUACCAACAUAAGACAGAAGUCGACGAUAAUUUUUCAUAUUAUGUUCCGCGCGCGAUUAUAAAGAAAAUGAUGAUCUUGAACCUAAAUCUAUUGAGAAAUGUAUGAAUAGAAAAUAUUGGCCAAAAUGGAAAGAUGAAAUAAAUAAAGAGCUUAAUUGUCUUACCCAAUGAAAAGUUUUUGGGCCUGUAGUCUAUACACCAANUAGUGGGACACGAAUGAGUAUUUGUGGGCAAAAGAAACGAGAAAAAAUGAAGUUGUGAGAUAUAAAGCAAUACUUGUUGCACAAGGUUUUACCCAAAGGCCCGAAAUUGAUUAUGAAGAAACGUAUUCUCCUGUAGUUGAUGCAAUUACAUUCAGUUAUUUUAUAAGUUUAACAACAUAUGCAAAACUGAAGAUGUGUCUAAUGGAUGUAUUUUACCACUUAUUUAUAUGGUUCACUUGAAAAUGAUAUUUAUAUGAAAAUCCCAGAAGUGUUUAAGGUGCUAGAAGCACAAACUUCUCAUUCUCGUGAAGUAUAUUUGAUGAAAUUAAAUAAAUCUUUGUAUAGAUUGAAACAAUUUGGCCGUAUGUGCUUCAAUUGUUUUAGUACAUUUCGGUUGAAAAAGUGCUAUAAAAAUGAUCCAUUAAGCCCAUGUGUAUUCAUAAAAAGAUGCAGAUAAGAGUUUAUCAUAAUUGAUGCUAUUGUAGAUGAUUUGAACAUAAUUGGAACUCCUAGAGAAUUGGAAAAGGUCACUUCCUGUUUGAAAGAAAUUUUUGAAAUGAAUGAUCUUGGUAAGAUGAAAUUCUAUUUGGGUCUUCAAAUUAAGCACACAAAAAAUGGAGUUUUUGUACAUUAAUAUCUAGAAAAGGUGCUAAAAAUGUUUUAUAUGAAUAACUCACAUCCAUGAGUAACCCGAAGGUGGUAAGGCACUUAGAUGCCAAAAAGGAUCAAUUUCAGCAUCAUAAAAAACAUGAAAAUCUUCUUGUUCCAGAAGAACUAUAUCUUAGUGCUAUUGGUGCACUAAUAUAUCUUACUAUUAAUACAAGACCUGAUAAAUAUUUUGUCGUAAACUUAUUAGCAAGAUAUAGUUGUUGUCCAACAAGAAGAUACUGUAAUAAAGUCAAACACAUUCUUUGAUAUCUUUGAGGUACAAUGGAUAUGAAUUUAUACUAAUCAAAUUCUUAAAAUGCAAAGUUAAUUAGUUAUGUAUAUGCUAGAUAUUUAUCUGAUCCACACAAAAAAGUUAUUUAUUCACUUGUGGAGGUAACGUAAAUUCUUGUCAUUUUGUUAAACAAACUUUAGUUGCUGCUUAUUCUAACCAUGCGGAGAUUAUAGCAAUUUAUAAGAUAAUACAACUUGUAUAGCUCCAUUCAAGGAAGGAUUUAUAAAAGGAGACAGAACCAAGCAUAUAUCACCAAAGUUUUUUUCACUCAUGAUCUUCAAAAAGAGUGUGGCAUCAACAUCUAGAAAAUUCAAUCCUGUAACAACUUUCCUGAUUGGUUUACUAAAACACAUCCUACAUCGAAAUUGAAAAGAUGGUACGAAACAUUGUUAUGUGGUGCUUCAAGAGAAUCAAGUGAUGUGCUAAUCUGGGGGAGUUGGAAACAUAUUGUACUCUUUUCCUUAGCUAUGUUUUUCCCACUGGGUUUUCUUUGCAAGGUUUUUAACGAGGCAAUUGUUUCCAAUAUCUAUUAUUAAUCAUGUACUCUUUUUCCUUAAUAAAGGGUUUUUCCCAUGAGGUUUUACCGAUUAAGGUUUUAACGAGGCAUGAUACAAUCGUCAUUCAAGGGGGAGUGUUAUGAAUUAUUAUUUAGUGAAUGACUAUUGGAUUCUCCAUAUUCCCCCAUUACUCUCCAUAAUUAGUGAACAUUAUAGCAAACAUUAUUAUGUAUUUUAUGAGUGUAGUUAUGCACCACUAUAAUGAGCAUUCAUAUCAUACAUCACCUUUCAUCUUCUUUGUCUAGUAUAAAUAGUGAAUAUUAUGUAUUGUAAAGUUUGAUGAUUUCAUCACAAGUAUUAGAAUAAAAGCUCUCUCUACUCUCAUGUCUUUCUUUACUCUAUAACUUAUCUUGUUAUUUGAUCAUAUUUUAUAACAUUUUGUCUAUUAAAACCAUUUAUCCCUUCUUAUUUAAAACCAAUUAUUUUUUUAACACAAAUUUUAUCUCCAAGACUUUAUUCUUCUUGCCGAUUUCAAGUGAAGACACAAGUGUUUUAGAGAUUAUCAUUUUUUGUGUUCUUCCUUCUACCGAGCAACCCGUAUCUGCAACCACCGACUUAUGUUCUUCGAAUAUUCAGAUCCAUAUAUUUAAUCGGAAACUUUUUUGAUCAACAAUGUUCUUCAAAUAUUUUGAUCUUUUUAAGGUUUGCAUUUUAUUUCCUUUAGAAUGGUUAAAUAAGGUAUUUGACCACCUUCAGACCAAAAAAUUUUCGGAUCAGAGAUCAGUCUCUUCCGACCGAGAUUGACAAAUCAAUGGUCUUGCUUCGUAAAUUCGUGUUCGUAUUUCAUUUUAUUAGCAUUAUGAUUCUUCAACAUGGUUUAUUAGAUAUAUCUUUAGUAUUUGUUCAGUACAGCAAAACAUCACACAAUCUACUCAUGACUUGAAAAUAAUAUCCUCGUUUUUACAGGUAGAUGAUCACAUCAUGGGGGAGCGUCCAAUGCUCCAUCAUAUCCGACAUAUUUUCUUGCCCGAUUUCAUUAUUAUUUUUUAUCUUUAUUGCAUCCUCGAACAAAAAUAGGGGGAGAAUAAUGGGCAUCCACGUUUGAAAUUUUUAUUUGAGUUUGGAUUUUAGAGACAUUUGAAGAUGCAGAUUUAUCUAGUAAUGCGAUUUGGCACUGAUUUUUGGGUUUUAGAGAUCAAAUUUUUAGGCAUUACUAGAUGUUCUUUGGAUCAUGAUUAUUUAUAUCCAGACUCUAUUUUUUGGGAUGUCUCAUUUGUGUUAGCAUCCAAAUCAGGUUUUAUGAUUGUUCGAGUUUGGAUUUUCGAUAUUUUGAAGGCGGAGAUUAUUUUGGAGAUGCGACGCGACACUGAAUUGAUCAUUUUUUUAUCAGAAUUUUUGCAUUGCAAGACAUUUCUUCGGAUCCAUAUUAUUUAUUAUUCAUACUUUACUUAAGGAUGCUUUACACUUUCAACAAGUAUUUUUCAGAGAUUUUUGGUUCCUUAUGAUUUGGGAUCGGAAUUUGAGGCCUUUGUGUGAUUCGAUAUUGAGAUCUUUAGUUCAACAAUCAUAUGGCAGAUUGUGAACCUGAUCGGUUUUUGGGACUGGUCUAAUUUGAAGAUUGGGAUUUCAUAUUUGUGUUGAGAGUUGGUUCCUCUAAAUGUUCUUUGAUGUUAAAGAUUCCAUUGUCAGAUUCAGAGUUCGUAGUUGCUUCAUAAUUUUUGAGAUAUAUUAGCACCAGACCUGCCCGUCAGUUGUUCUUCCUUUUAUCAUUGAUUUUUACCCUCAUCAUUUUUGAGAAUUUAAGGGGAGAUUAUUGGAACAGGAAACACCUACAAUCAUGAGUGAUUUAUUAGGUUGGAAUAGUCUAUUGUAUGAAAUGCAUAUUCCAUCCACUACUAUAUAAAGUGGUGGUAUGUGGUCAUUUGAGGUGUGCACCAUGUAGACAUUAGAUUAGAGAGAGUAUUGCUGGAAUAUUCUUCCUAUCCAUGAGUGUUCUUAAUUGUAAUAUUUGAUAUCUCUCUAUCUAUACAUUGUUAGUUUACUUAAUUGUUUAUCAUGUUCUUACAAUUAUCUUCAUGAUUAUUAUUAUUAUGCAACAAAGCAAUCAUUAAACUGGUACAACAAUAUUUCUUUCCUUCUCCUAUUUUUCUGUCAAAGGCUUCAUGAAAUAAAUUUUAAUGUUACCAUUCUCUUCGUAUUGGAUACAUUUCCGGAGCACUCCCCAUACAUUAUUCAUUCAAAUAUCUUCUUCAAAGAUUAAAUAAUGAAUGCCUUCAAUAGUAAGAUCCAUAGUUCGAAAUGACUUUCUAACAACUGUUGUUGUUUCUGACCAACUCUCAAGAAGCAAAGAUAAUUACAGUAGUGCCCAAACUUCGUCUUUGAACCAUAUGUCAAAAAUUGCAAUCUUUAUAUUAUUAAGUUGAAUUUAUUCACAUGGUAUGUAAUAGGGCCAGAUUCCUUCAUCUUCGUAUUCAACAUACGUCUAUGAAAGAUCUUUAUGCUCAAGAAAUAUUAUAGGAUGAUAUUUGAUAGAUAAUAUAUGAUCCUAAAGGGUCACACUAGCAACAACUUGAGGUUAAUAUAUAUAUAUAUAUANUGAUGAAUAUUUAUGUUUCUUGUAUUUAAUUGGAAAAAUUGUUAUUAAUGGAAAUAAUAUUUUUUAAGAGAGAAAAACAACUAAUAACUCACAUAGUAUGAAUUAUAUGUUGCAUACAUCUUUUUGGACUUAUAGUAGGUUAUUUAUAUAGAUAUAGCUUAUAUAACAAUAUGAUGUAUAUUCUAGUUUAUGAAAAUGGAUUAUGAUUCACACCCCCUAUCACAUCCCUCCUCAUUGCCAUGAAUGAGCUUGGACGGGUGAAUUUGGAGUGUUGGGUUUUCUUAUUACAAGCCAUACAUGUCAUAUGAUAUCAUACCUUCUUUGAAUACUAGCAUUGACUUUGGUAUAUAAUUGUAUGUAUAAAAGGAGACUAAAGGAUUUCAAAAGAGUUUGAUCUUUCUUCUUCUUUUCUUCUAAAAAGUCAUGCCUUUUUCUCUCUAUCCCCUUUCCUCAUUGUUUCAGUAAGUUAUGUAAAUUGAGUGUUUAUUAGUUGCUUCUCCUUAAGAAUUAUUUGGUAUAUGUCUUUAAGGAUUAAGAACAACUAAAUAUACAAGAUGGACUAGCAUCCAUGUCAAGUUCAAGAAUUGUUGGUGUUUCUAACUAAUGUGGAGUUCUACCUUUACAUUCUUCAUCAACUUACAACCUCCUAAGAGGAUCAAAGUCUUCAAACGUUGUCGCUUUUUUCCUAUGGCUGUGUUUUAAUCUUUCCAUGCUUUGCAAAAUGAUCUUUCAUGGGUUAAAAUGGUUUUAAGUUUAUUUAAAUCUUAAAAUGUUUCUAUUGCUAAUCUCCUAGUUUUGACACUAUAAUUAGACUAUUUUUUAUAAAUAAAACCCAACAAUUGGUAUCAAAUCCAUUUUUGCAAGCUUGGUUAGAUUAUUAGAUUAUUUGGUAUAACCUUUAUUUUUGGAAAACAUGGAUUGUUUUCUUUUUAUAAGAAAAUUCCAUAAACACUUUUUGUUACAACUUUAUAAUUGUUAUUUUAUAUGGCAAAAGUUCUAACAUCCAUAAAAUUUUGAAAAUUUUAAAACUUUUAAAUAACUCCAAAAACCAUCAUUCAUUACAAAUUUCUUUCAAAAUAGUUCAACAUUGGGGAAAUCCGAGAAAUCUUAAAACAAUUACAAGGAGGUGCACGAUCACGCCUUCGCCUUCCUGCGAUCCUGAAAUGUACUUGAAACAUAAUCUAAAACUGUAAGCCCGAAGCUUAGUGAGUUUCCCCCAAAAUACCAAUCAUAAUACCAAAACUAGAAUAAUGUCACAAAAAUCAUGCACUCAGAGCCUUCAGCCUGACUGGAACGCCCCCACCGGCCUACAGUCUAUCUGGUACGCUUAUAGAACCUACAUCAUGACUGGUAUGCUACCUUGAGCCUUCAACCUAUUUGGAACGUUCUAUGGGCCUUCGACUUGACUGGUAUGCCCCACUGGCCUUCAGUCUAUCCGGGAUGCCCUGGGUCUGUUGGCCUUCAGCACAAAGCAGGUCCGCCUCAACCAAUCACAUAACCUAUCGACAUAUAAAUAACAAUUAAACAUAUAACCAGAAAAUCAUGCAAACAGACAUAUCUUAUAGAUCACUAAGUAUAUCAUUAUUCUAUUAUCAGGAUACAUAUCUAACAGGUCACUAUAAUACUCACACAUGCAAUAAUCAGGAUAACAAUCCAAAAGGGUCGACCUUGGUGCCUUCGACCCAACAAGUAUAGUGAGGAACACUCACCUCACAAGUAGCUGAACUGAUAAGAUCUAACUCCGGAUCCCAACUCCCGAAUCAAAGCCUAAAAGCAACAUGACCAACCCAUCAAAACCUUAAAUCCCCAAAAUGCUUUUAAAUCCCCAAAACGAGUUGGUUAACCAUGGUCAAAGUCGAGGUCAACAAUCCAUGUUGACCCAACUCGUCGAGUGCACCUACUAACUCGUCGAGUUCCUUUAGUACUUAGAGAAAUAGGGAAAACUUGAGCCAACUCGCCGAGUUAUCAGGACAACUCAUCGAGUUCCUACAGUAUCCAAAAUAGCAGGAAAACUGAAGCCAACUCGCCGAGUUGUCAGAACAACUCGUCGAGUUUUCCCAACUUAACUCAUACAGUCCUUUUUUGUCCCUUCCAACGCCCAAGAAUGCAGAUCUAGAACCCAAGAGCUGGAACGCCAUGUAAAGUUGCUAACUUUACGUCCAUGCAUGACACAAGGAGGCUAAAACACUCAAAGAAGGCCUAACGAGGGUCUAAAGCAUAAAGGGGGCCCUAUAACAUGAUAAAGCUUGAAGCUUUAAGCCCAAAGAGGCCACAAGGCAUCUAGAUCUGAAGUGACAACUUCAAUAAAUGGCCAAACCCAAGAAUGACUCCAGUAUGAGCCAAAAAUGACAAUAAACUUCCAAAGGGGAAGAUCUAUGCAAUAAAUGAUCAAGGUAUCGACUUUUUACCUCAAAUUGGUUGCAGAUACAGAGAAGAUUUUGGAUCUACAACCUUCCUCUCAAUCAAACCUCUUCAAACUCCAAGCUCCUUCAAAAGAUCACCAAAAAUUCACUCUUUAAGCUCACACAUACAAAAAGGAGAGAAUGCACGAAUUAGGGUUUCAUAAUCAACCACCAUCUUGUCGAGUUGGUCCAAAAAGUAUGUGCGACCCAAGAGCUUCCAACACGUCUAGUUGAGGCCAUCAACUCGACGAGUUCCAAAGGGAAAUUUGUCUUUUAAGCCAUAAAUAUCAUACCUGGGAGUUGGGAUGUUACAACUCUCCCCCACUUGAUCUAGGCUUCGUCGUCGAAGCUUGUUGCGGUGAACACAUUCGGAUAAUGCUCCCAAUGAAUUAAUGGUGCAUUGAAAUUUUUUAGUCUGAAACUAGGAAUUGACGGAGAAACACUUCAUGUUUCACUAUGCCUCAUUAUAAUGUUCAAAAUCUUAUAAUUCAUUCUUUUGCGAGAUCUUAAUGAAACUGGUCUUUUUGUAAAUCGUUUAUUCCAAAUGGAUCCAUAUUUUAUUUUCUGAGUUAUGAGAUUUAUGGCUGAGCAUUUUCUAUCCUUUUGUCACUUCUAUCUUACUAAGUCAUUAAUUGAAUAGUUCAACCAAUCAUUCAAGGUUUCUCUCUCAUACCCCCAGUCGGCGGUGGAAACGCCAAGACUUGCAACAUUAGAAUAUUGGAUUACAAAUGUUGAACAUACAUUGCAAAAUACAAUGUAUAACAUAAUUAUUGAAUAUCUCAUUACCAGAAAUCGGGGUUACAUUAGUUCAAAUGCUUUGAACAUUAAGCUUACAUAGUACAACAUAUUACUAGUCUAUAUCCUUGCGUCUUGAUCUCCUGUAAUUGUAACAACGUAAAUUUUCAAAGUAAUUUCUCCAUUUCAAAAUAUAAUAAAAAUUCAUAUAUAAUAUCAAAAUCCGUGUAUCAACAUCAUCUCGAUAAAGAAAUCCCAAGAUCUUAAUGUAAAUAAAACUCCAUCCGUGUGUACGGUCAUGCCGGCGCCUUCCCGCGAUCCUCACUGGUACCUGAAACACAUAACACACAACACGGUAAGCAUAAAUGCUUAGUGAGUUCCCCAAAAUACCACACACAACACAUACGCCACUCAAGGAUACCGUAUGACCCUCCGGUCGAUGUGUCUCAGCGUGACCCUCCAGUCCUGUAGCUCGUUGGACCCUCUGGUCCGGUCAUAGCUCGUUGGACCCUUCGGUCCGAUUUGUAUCGUUGGACCCUUCGGUCCGGUCUAUAUCGUUGGACCCUCCGGUCCGGUCUAUAUAACACAUAGCAUACAUAUAUCACAAUGCACAUAAUCUCAUACAUACACAUAGCACACAAGACCCUCCGGUCUACACAUAGAUACCACUCUAGGUAAUGUAUAGUGAGAAGACUCAACUCGAGUAACUCGGAUAAUCUCGCACACGAAUAUGCUGAUCUAGCCCCCGCAUAAUCACAUAUCAAUAUCCUCAAAUAAAUAAUGGCUCUCAAAGGCUAGAUUAAAUCCCUUCCUAUAAUCCCACAGAAGGGUAAAAGACCAUUUUACCCCUCCUUGACCCAAAAGUCCAAAUGUUGACUAAAACCCUAAAAGUCAACGAAAGUCAACAGGGGCAGUACGCGGGGCGUACCAACUCGUGUACGCGGGGUGUAAUCCGGCUAACCAAAAUCGGGGGAUAAGACCCAUUACGCGACGCGUAAUGGGAUUAUGCCCAACGUAAGUCCCAGUUACCCAUUCUCAAAAGUUUUGGUCUGAAUCGAUUAAGACAAUGGUUCAUAUCAUAGAUCUAGGCACUCUACUGCCUCCUAAACCAUAAAGUCGAAACCUUUAGGCCUUUGCAUGGCUAAAAAGGUUACAACUUCUUCCAAACUCUUAUCCCCUUUCCCCAUUAAGACCAAAACCCAUGCAUGACUCCAUCAUGACGACCAAGAUUGGAUUUUUAUGAACCUACAACUCAUAUUACUCUGAAAUAUGGCAGAUCUAAGCUUAUGGAGACCAUUUGCUCAUAAAGUCUCCACCUUGGGACCAAAAACCCUAAAAAUUGGUCCAUGAAGCACAAAACAAAAAUGACAAGGAAAGCUUUGAGCUUUUUACCUCCAAGUGAAGCUCUUCCCUCUGUAGAACUCAAAUCCAGGCUUGUACUCCAACUUCUAGCCUCCACAAGAACCUCCUCUUCUUCUUCACUAACACACAAAGGCACUUUCUAGCUCAAGAACACUCACACACUAGCUUUAGAAUGAUAAUAUUGCUCUCCUAGGGUUUUUCUCUGUGGAAUGGUGGUUGGGGACAAGACCAUAUCAUUGCUUUUAUAGUCCACAAGCCACAAUUAGGGUUUGCAUCUUGGCCCGCUACGCCCAGCGUACCUAGGCAAGUCUCGUCCAAACUAAGAGCAUGAGUACAUGCAGCGUACUCUUCAGUACGCCCAAUGUACUCAAUGGCCAUAUUUUUCCUUUAGGCGCUAAACUUGACAACUUGGAAAGGAAGAAGGGUUAAAUAAAUAUACCUGAAUUCCGGGAUGUUACAAUUCUCUUCCACUAGAACCAGACUUUUACCUCAAAGUCUCAUGCCGUAAACAACCUCGGAUGCUGGUCCCGCAUCUCUGACUCCGACCCCAAGUCAGCUCGGACCCUCUCCGAUGUUGCCACUGGACCUGAACCAGGGGCACCUCCUUGUUCCUCAGAACCAUGAUCAUUCGAUCCACAAUCGUGAUUGGCCUCUCAACAUAAUUCAUCGUCGCAUCCACCUGAAUGUCCUCCAGUGGUACAACUGUCGUCUCGUCGGCAAUACACUUCCUCAACUGAGACACGUAGAAGGUAUCAUGUAUCUGACUCAACACUGCAGGUAGCUCCAAACGAUAUGCUACCCUGCCCACCCUAGCGGUCACCAUGAAAGGACCAAUGUACCGGGGUCCCAGCUUGCCCCUUUUCUAGAAUCAGAUCACUCCCUCCAAGGAGAUACCUUCAGGAGUACGAAGUCUCCCACCUGGAACUCGAGCUCGGACCGUCGCCUAUCUAGAUAAAUCUUCUGACGACUUUGAGUUGUUAACAACCUCUGUCUGACCUGCUGUAUCUGCUCUGUCGUCUGAAGCACUAUCUCAGUGUUGCCCAUCACUCGUUGCCCUACCUCCCCUAGUAGAUGGGAGUCCGAUACCUCCUCCCAUACAACAACUCGAAGGGAGGCAUACGGAUACUCGAAUGGUGGCUGUUGUUAUAGGAAAACUUAGCCAACGGUAAAUACGUGUCCCAACUUCCUCCAAAGUCCAACACACAUGCUCAAAGCAUGUCCUCGAGCGUCAAAAUUGUCCGCUCACUCUGUCCGUCCGUCUGUGGGUGGUAAGAGGUACUGAAAUGCAGCCUCGUGCCCAACUCCUCAUGGAACUUCUUCGAAAACCUGGAAGUGAAACGUACAUCUCGAUCUGACACAAUCGAUAUCGGUACUCCAUGCCACGAUAUCACCUCCCUCACAUACAACUCUUCCAGUCUCUCUUUUGAAAAGCUCUCACUAAUAGCAAGGAAGGGAGCGCUCUUCGUCAGUCGGUAGAUGAUCACCCAAAUUGCAUCGACACCCCUCGCGGUACUUGGCAAUUUGGUGAUAAAGUCCAUAGAAAUUUGUUCCCACUUCCACUGGGGAACCUCAAGUGGCUGCAACUUGCCAUGAGGACGCUGGUGCUCGGCCUUAUCCCUGAGAUAGGUCAAGCACCUCUUAACGAACCACGCAACAUCCCUCUUCAUACAUGGCCACCAAUAGUCUCUUUCAGGUCCAAAUACAUCUUAGUGGCCCCGGGAUGGAUCAAGAAUCUCGACUUGUGCGCCUCCUCCAUCAGAAUGGUACGUGCCCCGCCCGCAAACGACACCCAAAUCCGACCCUAAAAGGUCAUAAGCCCUCGGCUAUCGGUAACGAACUCAGAUACCUGCCCGAUCACCCGCUCUCUCUUGCUGUUCUCCGGUCUCACGGCCUCUGCCUGGGCCUCCCGAAUGGUGUCCAACACCGGAGUCAUCACCGUCAUCCUCAUACAAACGCCUCAUAUCGGGGUAAUCUCCGCCCUACGGCUCAGGGCAUCGGCUACAACGUUAGCCUUUCCCGGGUGGUACAGGAUCUCACAAUCAUAAUCCUUUACCACAUCCAACCAUCUCCUUUGGCUCAUAUUCAGGUUGGGCUGAUCCAUCAAAUACUUCAAGCUCUUGUGGUCCGUGUAUAUGGUACACUGAACCCCGUACAAAUAGUGACGCCAGAUCUUGAGGGCGAACACCACUCCCCCACAACUACAGAUCGUGGGUGGGAUACCUCGUCUCAUGAGGCUUCAGCUGCCUUGAUGCGUAUGCUAUCACGUGCCCUCUCUACAUCAGCACCGCACCUAACCCCGAUAUCGAUGCGUCAGAAUACACCAAAAAAUCCUCCAUCCCCUCCGGAAGGGAUAACACCAGGGCUUCGCAUAACCUCUAGCAAAGUGUCUCGAAUGAGGCCAGCUGCUCAGGACCCCAACUAAAAGCCACGCCCUUCCGGGUGAACCUGGUGAGAGGAACGACAAUCUUGGAGAAGUCCCUGAUAAAUCUCCGAUAAUAGCCAGCCAACCCCAAAAAACUCUUGAUCUCGGUGGGGGAUCUUGGCACCUCCCAAAUCAUCACAACCUCAAUCUUGGCCAGAUCGACCAAUAUCCCAUUCUGGUUGACGAGAUGCCCAAAGAACUGGACCUAUUGUAACCAGAAAUUGCACUUGGAGAAUUUGGCGUAAAGCCUCUCCGAUCUCAAAACUCUGAGGAUCUCCCUCAAAUGCUCUUCAUGCUGCUCUCUAGAUCUCGAAUACACCAAUAUAUCAUCGAUGAACACGAUCACCGAACGAUCCAACAUCGGCCUGUACACCCUGUUCAUGAGAUCCAUGAAUGCCGCCGGUGCAUUGGUGAGCCCAAAAGGCAUCACCACGAACUCGCAAUGCCCAUAACGAGUUCUGAACGUCGUCUUCUGGAUAUCCUUAUCCCACACUCUCAUCUGAUGAUAUCCAAACCUCAAAUCAAUCUUGGAGAACCAAGACGCUCCCUGCAACUGAUUGAAUAGACCAUCGAUCCUCGGUAAGGGGUAACGGUUCUUGACCGUCAACUUAUUCAACUCCCGGUAAUCAAUGCACAUCUGGUGUGAACCAUCCUUUUUCUUGACAAAAAGGAUCGGCGCUCCCCACGGCAAGCUACUCGGUCGAAUAAAUCCCUUCCCCAACAGCUCCUGAAGCUGCGAGGAUAACUCCUGCAUCUCUGGCGGCGCAAGGCGAUAGGGUGCCUUGGCAAUAGGUGCCGCUCCCGGAACUAAAUCGAUGCGAAAAUCCACUUGCCUCUCGGGAGGCACACCCGGCAACUCCUCGGGGAAAACGUCUGGGAACUCUCGCACUAUCUGUACAUCAUCGAACGAAUUCAACCUCUCCACGGCCACUCGUGUGUCCACCACAUAGGCCACAAACCUACUACAGCCCUGCUGCAGACUCUGCCUCGCUCUAGCAGCCGAACAGAACGUUGACCCGGAAUGGGUACCCUCGUCGUACACCGUAAGAACUCCCCCACUAGGUUCUCGUAUGGUCACCAGUUGUCGCUCGCAGUCGAUAACUGCUCCAAAUCUGCUCAGCCAGUCCAUGCCCACGAUGAUACAGACAUCCCCUGUAACGCCCGUAGAUUAGGGCUAGUCAAUUUAGAGACGAUAAGCAUCAAAAAUGAAUUUUUGAUGGAAGAUUAUUUAGAAGGAUUAAUCUUAACCAAGUUGUAGUAUAUGUCACAAGGUUUCCGUGCAUAUAAAGAACGCCAAAAUCCGAGUUAUAACGAAGAAGUUAUGACCUGUCGAAGUUUCGCGACAGAACCGGCACGACCCAGUGCGACGUAAAUAGUGAACUUAAGGUAGAUAGAUGUCUAUCCUUAGUGAUCUAAACAAGAUUUGAAGACUUCUUCGAUAGUAGUCCAACGAUAAAAAGACAGACAAAAACGGAGUUCAGAUGAAGGAGUUAUGAAUUUCGAACGGAGUUUUCCUGUCCCGGCUUACUAAAGAUAAUAUAUAAGUAAUAUAAUUAUAGUAUAUUAAAAAUAAAGUCAAAAUUAGCCAAUGGAGUCGAAACGAGAGUUGUAGAGCAUAAUCUCACCUUCGCGUCGAUAUAAAGAACGUCGAAAACGGAGUUCGUAUGCGAAAGUUAUGAAUUUCAGAAGUUCAGGGCACGAAACCCCAAAAAUGUUAGAGACCACGAUGUGGCAAGCAGUGCCACGACGUGGCAAGUCUCCUGACACCUCCGGGAGUCCCCCAGAUGCAACUUGCAAUGACGUAUGCAAUGACGACCAAGCCCACGACGUGGAAAAAGGAUCCCACGACGUGGCAAGGGCCAAAUGUGCCCUAUAAAUAGAUUUGAAGGGCCAGCCGACUAUGGUUGCUCCAUCCCUUCUCUCCCACUCCCGAUACACCCUCUAAGCCCUAUUUUAACCCCCCGAAGCCCCGGUAUCAACCCCGAGACCCGAAGCAAGUCCCGAAGCCCCAAGAUCCCGAGAAGAAAAGAGUUUCCGAGCCGAAGCUCUGCCCGCGAGAAACCCGGUGUGUGAAGUGAUCCCGGUUUCACCGAAGAAUAUCUACUUGAAGAGCCGUAGUGCUGUCCGAUCAUCUUCUGAUCAAGUGAGUGUAUAGUCCCUUUCAUAAACACGAUUAUAAUACAAGUAUUGUUUGAAUGUAUUAAGUAUAUGUUUGGUGUGAGUGUAUAGUCACUUUCAUCUUACACAUAGAUAUGAAGUAUUUUAUAAAAUACGUGCUAUGUGUAUAUAUAUAGUUGUUUAUAUGUGUGAGUGUGUGGUCACUUUCUUCUAACACAUAAAUAUUAAGUAUUUGCUAUGAAAUACGUGCUAUGUGUUUAUAUAUUGUUGUUUAUUUGAGAUGUUGGUGGAAUACAUGAACUAUAUAGGUUUUAAUGAGUUAAACUGUAUAUUUAUUUUGUAACUACAAAUAUGUUGGGUAGGACAUGGGUAGAUGAGAUCCGUGAGUAUGGAUCAGAUCAAGAGGUUAGUUUUAGAUCCGUGAGUAGGGAUCAGAUCAAGAGGUUAGUUUUAGAUCCGUGAGUAUGGAUCAGGUAAAGAGAUAAACUUGCUAUUAGUCCGGGAGUAUGGAUUAAGACUAAGUUAAUUGUCCCUAGUCCGGGAGUAUGGAUUGGGCACAGUUAUAGAUCCGGGAGUAUGGAUCAGAUAAGGAUUAAGAUUAAGAUAAUUGUCCCUAGUCCGGGAGUAUGGAUUGGGCACAGUUAUAGAUCCGGGAGUAUGGAUCAGAUCAGGAUUAAGGUAUAGUUAAUUGUCCCUAUUCCGGGAGUAUGGAUUGGGUACAAUUAUUGAUCCGGGAGUAUGGAUCAGAUCAGGAGGUUAGUUUUAGAUCCGUGAGUAUGGAUCAGGUAGUUUUAGAUCCGUGAGUAUGGAUCAGGUGAAAAGGUUAGUUUUAGAUCCGUGAGUAUGGAUCGGGUGAAGAGGAUAGUUUUAGAUCCGUGAGUAAGGAUCAGGUAAAGAGGUAAAUUUUAGAUACGAGAGUUUAGAUCGUGUCGUUGUGAGGAUCGAUGGGGUGGGAUAAGAGUUGCCUUUAUAUGGUGAAAUUGUACAAGUUUGAAUGUUCUAUAUUUAUAAAUAUAUGAUAUAACAUUGUGGGAUGAAAACCCUAUAUGCUCACCAGGCUCCCAAGCCUGACCCACUCAGUUUUCUUUGUAUCACAGGUAUCAAUACGAAGACAUAUUUCACAGAGAGAUUUAAAGGAGAUAUAAAUCAAUUGUGUAAUUAAAUGUAAGUUCUGUUUAUGCUUAUAUGUCUGUAUCGGAACAUGACAUCCCGAGGUUUUAUUAUUAAAUGAAAAUAAAUUCUCUUUGAGAAAUGUUUUGAUAAGUUAUUAUCAUAUUUUGUUUUGGGAACAAAUUCCGCAACCGUUUUCUUUAAAAGAUUACUCUGAUUUUAUAAAACAAAGCAUAAACAAAUCGGUCUUUUCUGGCCGUGAAAAUGGGGAUGUCACAGUUGGUAUCAGAGCAUUAGUUUAAGCGAACUAGGAAUUUGUAGGAAAUUUCUAGACUUAAACUUAGAAUGCUAAGUAAUGAUUGUGAGGAGUGUGUCUAAAAUAUGUUAGGUAGUACACCUAAAUUGACACAAGCACUAGUUCAUUUUAGGAAUGAUGCCUAAAAUGCUUUUAUGUGCUAAAUGUUUUGUGUGAUAGCUAUAUUGAUGCUAUUAUUUGUUCGGAUCUAUGGUCUGUUGCCGACCGGAUCUGGAAACCUUAUGUGUUUAGGAUUCUAAGCGUAUGACUACGAUAUUAGAACUAGCAUGUAAACGUUUCGGAGUGAUAAGGAGAUUUAUACGUUUAUCGUAAUUAAAGCUUUCUUAUCUUAAAAUUCUCGCUUGGUACACCGAAUGUCUGCUUGGAUGUACAAGAGGUCAUGGUGAAGACUCGUAGAGAAAUUGAGUAAAUGGAGGAAAUGAAGAAGGCUUAUGAUAGUGGAUGACACCUAUCAGAAGAUAUCAUAAGCGUGGUAUCUUGCCUUUACAGUAUGUCUUAUGAAAUAAAAGUACGUUUAGAGGAGUACGGUACGUCUGAAGUACACCUUCGAUUGGCAGGAUGAUGGAACGAUUGGUGAAAUUCUCGAAGUUGUCUCAUCGUCUUGUAUUUCCAUCACCAAUCGAGUUGAAGUAGAGUUGAUGAUUGAAGAUUGAGCAAUGAAGAAGUCCUAGUAGAGUCUAGGGAAAUUGUUUAUGAUUAUUUGGACACAUUCGUAUGUGUUAAAUUGUUUUGUGAUUUUCUUGUAUGGUGACUUGGUCGACUGCGGGACAAUACUUGGGACGAGUAUGAGUAGGUGUGAAAGGUAGUAGAUGCAUAUACUACCGGAAGCACAGGACUCACACUUGGAUCAGGGAAAGUCACAAGGUUACCAAGAAGCUAGUGAUUGAUUCCGUUUUAUUCGGAUAUGUCAUUACCCUUGUUUCGGUAAUUACUAGUAAGAUGGUUGUUAUGCCGACCCUAGUGGUCAUAUCAAAUUGAGUCCGAAUACGAUGAGUUUGUUAUGUGGUUCAUAGAACCAAGUUCGAGGUAGCAUCUGACUCAAGUCAGAAGAUUGAAAUUAAUGUGAUCGAUAGCAUCACGCUCGUUGUUAAUGAAGCUUGUAGCUAGAAAUGCUACAUGUUGAAAUGUGAUUAUAUCACAUUAGAAUAUGAAGGAAGGUAUAUUCCAUUUUGGAAUUUGACUCUAAGAGACUUGAGUCAAAGCGUUGCAUCAUGUGAUGAGAGGUCAUCAGGACACGACUCAUCGGUCUGUUACAAUAGAUAAAGGAAUGUACUUAUCCUAAGAAGAAAGAAUCCUCAAAAAGGAUUUGUUUUGUAUCUCGAAGGUUAUGAUUGAAAGUCCAACAUAGUACGAAGAGAAGAUGAAGGAUUGAGCAUCAUGGUUAUUAAUUAGGAUGGAGAGAUAAUGUAUGGAGUCAGUAUACAAAUCCUGUUUCGUUGAUGAUUCCGGGACGUAAUCAUCCUAAGGGGGAGAUAAUUGUAACGCCCGUAGAUUAGAGCUAGUCAAUUUAGAGACGAUAAGCAUCAAAAAUGAAUUUUUGAUGGAAGAUUAUUUAGAAGGAUUAAUCUUAACCAAGUUGUAGUAUAUGUCACAAGGUUUCCGUGCAUAUAAAGAAUGCCCAAAUGCGAGUUAUAACGAAGAAGUUAUGACCUGUCGAAGUUUCGCAACAGAACCGGCACUACCCAGCGCGACGUAAAUAGUGAACUUAAGNCUAAAUGAGAAUUGAAGAUCUCAUCGAUAGUAGUGCAACGACGGAAAGACAGACGGAAUCGGAGUUCAGAUGAAGGAGUUAUGAAUUUCGAACGGAGUUUUCCUGUCCCGGCCUACUAAAGAUAAUAUAUAAGUAAUAUACUUAUAAUAUAUUAAAAAUAAAGUCAAAAUUAGCCAAUGGAGUCUAAACGAGAGUUGUAGAGCAUAAUCUCACCUUCGCGUCGAUAUAAAGAACGUCGAAAACGGAGUUCGUAUGCGAAAGUUAUGAAUUUCAGAAGUUCAGGGCGCGAAACCCCAAAACUGUUAGAGACCACGACGUGGCAAGCAGUGCCACGACGUGGCAAGUCUCCUGACACCUCCGGGAGUCCCCCAAAUGCAACUUGUAAUGACGUAUGCAAUGAAGACCAAGCCCACGACUUGGAAAAAGGAUCCCACGACGUGGCAAGGGCCAAAUUUGCCCUAUAAAUAGAUUUGAAGGGUCAGCCGACUAUGGUUGCUCCAUCCCUUCUCUCCCACUCCUGAUACACCCUCUAAGACCUAUUUUAACCUCCCGAAUCCCCGGUAUCAACCCCGAGACCCGAAGCAAGUUCUGAAACCCAAAGAUCCCGAGAAGAAAAGAGUUUCCGAGCCGAAGCUCUGCCCGCGAGAAACCCGGUGUGUGAAGUGAUCCCGGUUUCACCGAAGAAUAUCUACUUGAAGAGCCGUAGUGCUAUCCGAUCAUCUUCUGAUCAAGUGAGUGUAUAGUCCCUUUCAUAAACACGAUUAUAAUACAAGUAUUGUUUGAAUGUAUUAAGUAUAUGUUUGGUGUGAGUGUAUAGUCACUUUCAUCUUACACAUAGAUAUGAAGUAUUUUAUAAAAUACGUGCUAUGUGUAUAUAUAUUGUUGUUUAUAUGUGAGUGUGUGGUUACUUUCUUCUAACACAUAAAUAUUAAGUAUUUGUUAUGAAAUACGUGCUAUGUGUUUAUAUAUUGUUUGUUUAUUUGAGAUGAGUAUGGAAUGGAUGAACUAUAUAGGUUUUAAUGAGUUAAACUGUAUAUAUAUUUUGUAUCUACAAAUAUGUUGGGUAGGACAUGGGUAGAUGAGAUCCGUGAGUAUGGAUCAGAUCAAGAGGUUAGUUUUAUAUCCGUGAGUAUAGAUUAGAUCAAGAGAUUGGAUUUAGAUCCGAGAAUAUGGAAUAGGAAAAGAGAUAAACUUGUUAUUAAUCUGGGAGGAUGGAUUAAGACAUAGUAAAUUGUCCCUAGUCCGGGAGUAUGGAUUGGGCACAGUUUAGAUCCGGGAGUAUGGAUCAGAACAUGAUUUAGGUAUAGUAAAUUGUCCCUAGUCCGGGAGUAUGGAUUGGGCACAGUUUUAGAUCCGGGAGUAUGGAUCAGACCAAUAGGUAAACUUGUUAUUAAUCCAGGAGUAUGGAUUAAGACAUAGUUAAUUGUCCCUAGUCCGGGAGUAUGGAUUGGGCACAGUUUUAGAUCCGGGAGUAUGGAUCAGACCAAGAGAUUAGUUUAGAUCCGGGAGUAUGGAUUAGACCAAUAGGUUAGUUUUAGGUCCGAGAGUGUGGAUCGGGUGGAGAGAUUAAUUUAGAUCCGUGAGUAGGGAUCAGAUAAAGAGGAACAGUUUAGAUACGAGAGUUUAGAUCGUGUCGUUGUGAGGAUCGAUGGGGUGGGAUAAGAGUUGCCUUUAUAUGGUGAAAAUGUACAAGUUUGAAUGUUCUAUAUUUAUAAAUAUAUGAUAUAACAUUGUGGGAUGAAAACCCUAUAUGCUCACCAGGCUCCCAAGCCUGACCCACUCAGUUUUCUUUGUAUCACAGGUAUCGAUACGAAGAUAUAUUUCACAGAGAGAUUAAAGGAGAUGUAAAAUCUUUAGUGUAAAUAAUGUAAGUUCUGUUUAUGNAUGUCUGUAUCGGAACAUUACAUCCCGAGGUUUUAUUAUUAAAUGAAAAUACAUUCUCUUUGAGAAAUGUUUUGAUAAGUUAUUAUCAUAUCUUGUUUUGGGAACAAAUUCCGCAACCGUUUUCUUUAAAAUAUUACUCUGAUUUUAAAAACAAAGCAUAAACAAAUCGGUCUUUUCUGGCCGUGAAAUUGGGGAUGUCACAUCCCCCAUCGCAAUCGGAACCAGAUCAAUCGGGAACUCAACACCGAAGAUCUCGAGUACACCUCCUCGAAUCACAUCAGUGGCAUACAUCGCUUGCUCUUCAGCUAUGGAAACUUGAAGAGGUCGACUCAACGCCUCUCGAUAGAUACUGAUGUGCUGACUAAAUGCUAAAGACACGAAAGAUCGAGUCGCAGCCGAGUCAAAUAACACCAAAGCAGGUACUGAACUCACAAGAAAAGUACUUAUGUCAUAAUAUAAGCACAAUGUCUCAAACUCAAAAUAAAUAGAUGAAAGCGUACAUACCAGCCACGAGAUCGGGUGCUGCGCGGACCUCCUCCGCUGUCAAAUGGAAGGCUCUCUCGCGAGCCUUUAGUGCCUCGGCCUUCACUGGCCGGGUCUUGGUAGCUCUGGCAGCAGGUGCAGAUCCCUGCAGCAGCUGUGGGCACUCGGCCUUCCGAGAAUCCCUUGGGGCAAUCCCUCGCAAAAUGCCCCUCCUUCCCACACUUGUAACAUACCCCGACUCUGCACACCCCCUCAUGGCUCUUGCCGCACCUCCCACAAGUGCGGCCCUUCGGACCCCCAGAUCUCGAAUCAACGGGCUUUGCCCGCUUGGCUGCCGGCUGAGCCUGCGCCGAUCGCCUAUCCCUCAUCUGAGACUCGACCUCCUCCCUGACCUGAGUCUCCAACUCAAUCUCCCGCUUCCGGGCAUUUCCUGGAGCUCAGAAAAUGUCUGGUAUGACGAGUGCGCCACGAACUCACGAAUAUCCCUCCUUAGUAUGCUCAAGUACCGGCUCAUACGUGCCUACUCAGAAGACACGUGCUUAGGGAAAAACAACGCCCUCUCAUGAAACAUCCUCGUAAUCACUGUCACAGACUCAGUUCCCUACUUGAGGGACAAGAACUCUUGGGCUAGACGUUCGCUCUCCACAGGGGGAAUAUACUCAUCUCGAAACAUCGCGGUGAACCUCUCCCAGGUUACCGCAGUAAGCUCUGUAGUAGUGAAGUCCUCCGUCACAAACUUCCACCAGUCCUUCGCCCUCAAGUGAAGUCCUCCGAACCCUCAAAUGCUUCGGACACGAGCAGGUGUAGAAGCAUCCCUCGAUAUCAGAAAUCCAUCUCAUCGCAGCAAUCGGAUCCUGCGUCCCAUCGAACUCUGGUGGCUUGGUGUUGCUGAACUCCCGGUACAACAUCGAGUCACCCCCUGAGGUUUCGCAGCAGCCACAUCCGCAGUAGCUGUAGCAGCUGCAACCUCAGUAACCACUGCUUAUCUCUCGUCAAACGUCUCAAUCAAGGUGGUCUUGAUAAACCCAAACAUCUCCGGUAUCUCUGCGCGGAUAGCCGCCGCCACCUCAUCAUGGAUCAUCUGACGAAGCUCCUCGUCACUCACGCCGCUCGUCUCAGGUCUGUGGCAUGUCCCAACCAUGAUGUCUCUGAAAUACAACAUAAAAAUAUCAGAGACUCGCUCGAGUAUACUCGCACCUGAUAACUCAACCCUACUUGUUCCUUAGCACCCUAAGGAUUCUUACUUGGACUGUGCAAUGAUCCGGUGUCUUCAGUAGUACGGAACCUAUACUACCGUCCACACCGCAACAGUAUUCACCCCAAGUCCUCCUCCUAGGAUCCCAUAUCACAAGUACUCUAAUCUCGCUAUGCAUAGGCUACUCUGCAGCAGACCUCUCGUAAGCUCCUCGUUGCAACCUACUCACUCUCAAGCAUCUCAUAGUAGCAGUAAUCUCCUAGUCUAAGGCAUCACAAAUCAGGACACUCUAGUCCUAAUAUAAAUACCUAGCCUACUCUAGCAUGCAUAACAUAUCAUAUCAUAUCUCAUAACACAUAAUAUGAGGGUAUUUUGGGAAAUCACCGUUCUGGCGCUGGUUGAUCGUACACACUGCUCUGUUCUGCUCGUUUCAAAACCUUUUAUUCUUUUAGAAAAAUUGUUUUACUGUGAAAACUUUCUCAAACCCUCAGUUUGAGUUCAGAUACGUCCGAAGGUGCAUCCGAAUCCCUCAAACCAAGGCUCUGAUACCAACUUGUAACAACGUAAAUUUUCAAAAUAAUUUUUCCAUUUCAAAAUAUAAUAAGAAUUCAUAUAUAAUAUCAAAAUCCGUGUAUCAACAUCAUCUCAAUAAACAAAUCCCAAGAUCUCAAUGUAAAUAAAACUCCAUCUGUGUGUACGGUCAUGCCGACGCCUUCUCGCGAUCCUCACUGGUACCUGAAACACAUAACACACAACACGGUAAGCAUAAGUGCUUAGUGAGUUCCCCAAAAUACCACAUAUAACACAUACGCCACUCGAGGCUACCGUACGACCCUCCGGUCGAUGUGUCUCAGCGGGACCCUCCCGUCCCGUAGCUCGUUGGGCCCUCUAGUCCGGUCAUAGCUCAUUGGACCCUUCGGUCCGGUCUAUAUCGUUGGACCCUUCGGUCCGGUCUAUAUCGUUGGACCCUCCGGUCCGAUCUAUAUAACACAUAGCAUACAUAUAUCACAAUGCACAUAAUCUCAUACAUACACAUAGCACACAAGACCCUCCGGUAUACACAUAGAUACCACUCUAGGUAAUGUAUAGUGAGAAGACUCACCUCGAGUAACUCGGAUAAUCUCGCACACGAAUAUGUUGAUCUAGCCCCCGCCUAAUCACAUAUCAAUAUCCUCAAAUAAAUAAUGGCUCUCAAAGGCUAGAUUAAAUCCCUUCCUACAAUCCCACAGAAGGGUAAAAGACUAUUUUACCCCUCCUUGACCCAAAAGUCCAAAUGUUGACUAAAAUCCUAAAAGUCAACAGGGGCAGUACGCGGGGCGUACCAACUCGUGUACGCGGGGUGUAAUCCGGCUAACCAGAAUCGGGGGACAAGACCCAUUACGCGACGCGUAAUGGGAUUACGCCCAACGUAAGUCCCAGUUACCCAUUCUCAAAAGUUUUGGUCUGAAUCGAUUAAGACAAUGGUUCAUAUCAUAGAUCUAGGCACUCUACUUCCUCCUAAACCAUAAAGUCGAAACCUUUAGGCUUUUGCAUGGCUAAAAAGGUUACAACUUCUUCCAACCUCUUAUCCCUUUUCUUCGUUAAGACGAAAACCCAUGCAUGACUCCAUAAUGACGACCAAGAUUGGAUUUUUAUGAACCUACAACUCAUAUUACUCUGAAAUAUGGCAGAUCUAAGAUUAUGGAGACCAUUUGCUCAGAAAGUCUCCAUCUUGGGACCAAAAACCCUAAAAAUUGGUCCAUGAAGCACACAACAAAAAUGACAAGGAAAGCUUUGAGCUUUUUACCUCAAAGUGAAGCUCCUCCUUCUGUAGAACUCAGAUCCAAGCUUGUACUCCAACUUCUAGCCUCCACAAGAACCUCCUCUUCUUCUUCACUAACACAGAAAGGAACUUUCUAGCUCAAGAACACUCACACACUAGCUUUAGAAUGAUAAUAUUGCUUUCCUAGGGUUUUUCUCUGUGGAAUGGUGGCUAGGGACAAGACCAUAUCAUUCCUUUUAUAGUCCACAAGCCACAAUUAGGGUUUGCAUCUGGGCCCACUACGCCCAUCGUAACCCUGGGUAUGCCCAGCGUACCUAGGCGAGUCCGUGUCCAAACUAAGCAUAUGAGUACACGCAACGUACUCUUCAGUACGCCCAGCGUACUUAAUGGCCAUAUUUUUCCAUUAGGGGCUAAACUUGACAACUUGGAAAGGAAGAAGGGUUAAAUAAAUAUACCUGAAUUCCGGGAUGUUACAGUAAUGCAAGUUUCCAUCCUUAGAUUUCCUAGGAAUACAUGUAAUUUUGAAAAUCUCCAACAUAAUGUUGGUGAGAUCACAUGUUUUUACUUAGGUAUUUUAAAGUUUCUCUUCUUGAUGAGAUUUUACUGAAUUUUUUUAUUAGUUAUGGGAAAAGCACUCGUGAUUAGAAUGUAAAAUAAAGCUAUAAACUAUCACACCCCCUUAGUUUGAUCAUGGGGUUUACAAAUGUUCAGACUAUGUUUAAAGUCUAAAAAUAGCUUAGUAGGAAGGCCUUUAGUAUGUAUAUCUGAAAACUGGUGAGCUGAUGGCACAUGCAAAACAAACACAUGUCCAAUAGAAACACAUUCCCUAACAAAGUGUAAGUCUAUUUCUACAUGCUUGGUACGUUGACACUGUACAAGGUUCGAAGAUAAGCACAUGGAAAUUACGUUAUCGCAAAACAAAACCGUUGCUUUAUACAAUGUACAUGAUAACUCAAGAAGAAGAUUGUAAAGCAAAGAAGCUUCAACAACAACAUUGGCCUCCCCACGGUACUCAGCCUCAUCUGAGGAGCGCAAAACAACAUGCUGAUGGUUGGAAGACCAAGAGACAAGGUAAUGUGCAAGAUAGACAUACAAAUUAAAGUGGAGCGAUGAGUGUGAGGGAAACCAACCCAAUCAGCAUCAGAGUAAGAAACCAAAUAAUCAGCUGAAGAAGGUCGCAAAAGAAUACCAUGAGAAAGCGUACCUUGAACAUAGUGCAAGAUACGUUUUAAAGCAAAGAUAUGAGGUUCACGAGGAUCAUGUAUAAACAAGCAUGUCUGUUGAACAACAUAGGGGAUAUCGAGACGAGUAAACGUGAGAUACUGCAAUGUACCGGCAAGACUGUGAUACAUAGUAGGAUCAGAGAUAGGAGAUCCAUAUGGAGAGAGUUUGUAUUGGGUGUCGGAGGGACUGGUGCACGAAUUACAGUUAGACAUGUCAGCUCGAGUAAGAAUGCCUUUAGCGAAGGAAGUCUGGGAUAAGAAGAGACCCUUAUUAUGGCAGGCCGCAAAAAUGCCAAGGAAGAAGGAGAGAGGACCAAGAUUAGACCUAGGACAUUCAAAAAAGAGGCGAUAGAUGACCCUAUUGAUCAGGGUAACGGAAGAAUCAGUGCGAAUGAUGUCCUGAACAUCGAGGAGAAGAUAGACAUGAUCAGUGCCAGAGUGAUAGGUAAAGAGAGAAAAUUCAUACUUAAUGUUGAAAGACCAUAAUGGAAUACUGUGCAGUCAAGCCAGGCCAUUCCCUUUGGACUAGAAGUACCGGAAAAUGUUUAAACUACAAAAUCGCAGUGUUCUAGAAAUCGGCCUAAUCGGCCGAUUAAUCGCUAAUCGGACCUCCACCAAUGAGAUUUAUUGCUAAUCAGUCACUAUAGUUGGGUUUGGUCAAUACAGGUCAAAUUCGGUAUUAAUUAGACCUAAUCAGACCAAAUCGGGCCUAAUCGGACUUAAUCGGACCUAUUCGUGUUUGGUCAAUGUAGGUCAAAGUUAGACCUAAUCGGACCUAAUCACCGAUUAAUUGCUUAUUUUUUUAGGAUUAAUGUUAGAUUUAUUAAUUUUUGAAUAAUUUUCUUAAUAAUUAAUGGUCCCCGAUUAAUCCCCGCCUAGCCGAUUAAUCCCUAAUUGCUAGUCCACCGAUUAGUGGCCAAUUAGCGAUUUCUGCAACCAUGUAAAAUCGUAAGCACAAAGCUUAGAGAGUUCCCUAAAAUACUACAUACCAUACAAACAUCAGGCCCACCCACACAUCGGGCCCCACUCAACAUAGAAAUGGGACCAACCCAUCAUAUAAACGGGCCUAACCCAACAUAUAAACGGGCCCAACCCAACAUACAAACAAGCCCAACCCUGCAUACCAAUGCAAGAUUCACAAAUACAACUAGCAUUCUACAUAGUAUACUGAGAAAACUCACCUUGCCGAUGUAAUCAAUUGCUAAUAACUCUCAUAGCAAAUGAACGGGUGCUACACACCUCCUAACAUUCUACACAGUAGGGUUUUUAGGGCAUGCACAUCGCUUUUCAAGGUGCAUGUCUGCACCAACACAUUGCCCCACAUAUAGGACGACACAUGUCACUCCUUCGCUGUUCCACGUCUCCCAAAUCUCAGUGAAUCUGAUCUCCUGAAACGCACGAUACACGUAACGCGCAUGAUGCACCCUUACUUUGUUCAAUUAUGUAAAUUACAUAUCUUCCGAGAAUGAGCUCCGUUUCCGAUGAUCUUUAUAUUCUCGUGUAGCCAUCAAUGAGUACUACAGCUUUCUUUUAGGUUGCAUUAGCAAAUAUUGACUUUGGUUUUACCCCGUAUUUUUAUACCUUAACUGACUUUGCAAAAAAUCAUAUCUUCCUCUUACGGGAUCUGUUUUUGACGUUCCUUGUCUCUUCGGUUUUAUAACUAGGAGUACUUUGAUUCCCCUUCACAUAGUUUUUGCUAAACUAGCGUACCUUUUAAACAAAUCAAAGAGGCCCUUCAUAACUUCUUAUCAAGUUGAUGAUUGUAAUUCAACGAGAAACCACAUUGAUACUUCACGUUCUCUCUUGACUUUGAAGGAAGAGGAAAUUUUCACAGGAUCACUAUGCUUUUAUAUCAAAAUUUAUUUUUGAUAUUGCAAAUUCCUAUAAUUUUUGUUUGGUUAUAUAUAUUUUAUCGGAACACUCGUUCACUUAAAAUCCUCAAGGUCUCAAGUAAAACCAACUUGAACCAAGAUUUUAGAAACUAUGGUUUAUGAUUCUAAUCAUUAUUACCAUGGUUUUGGUGAGACUCUUCUUUACCCUAUUCUCUUAUGAAAAGGAAUUUUAUUAAGGUAACACUCAUCAUAAUUCCAAUGGAUACUAUUUCAAUAUAUGCAAUAUUGAAGGGUGGACUUACUGCUUACAAAACUACUAUAAACCGAAAUGGCAUGUUGCUAUGUUACGAACAAAUCUUUUAUGCAUCUUAUGCGAAGACUUCUUUGUGAACGUACUGGAAGACAAUUUUUUUUUAUUCCAUUGAAAAAUGUUGAGUUGAUAAGUUUUGAUUGGACCUUCUUUAACGUGAUGAUAGGUGUGGUACUCAAGACAGAUGUGGGAUUGGAUGGGUAAUUAUGACAUGUAUUUGGCAGUUUUCUCUUUCCUAGAAUCCUAUACUUUUCAAAUUCAAAAAUAACGUUUGCUAUUCCACUACAUAUAAUUACCCAAAUUGCACACAAUUAAUCUCUUUACACAUUUAGACGAUUCAAGAGCGUUGCAAAGGAUUUCUUCAUUCUUCAAUUUUCUAUGUGCUUUUAAAUCGAUUCAGAAAUAAAGUCGUCUACUGAUCAUAUUUCCUUCAUUGAUCAAUCUGCUUUAUUUGCUUAUCUCAUUUUUAAACAUUAUGAAAAUAUGAUUGAUGAUCUCGAUGCUUUUAAGUAUUUAACUGUUGUUCAACCGAUAACUGAAUGUAUGAAUCAUUCAACUUUGAAAAGGGAAUUGACUCAUCAUGAAAAUGUUCCUUUUUCUUCUUUAAUUUUAGCAUAUACUACUGCAAGUUAUAAUAAGAAGAUGGAUGUAAUGACCUUGAGGUUCAACGGUGCAACACUACAAUUAAUAAGCAUGCUUUUUUGCAUGUUGCUAGGGUUGAAAACUGAUAAUGCGUAUAUAAACGAUGAAUUGGUUUCUUUAUCGAGUAUUAUUAGGGUUUAUCAUCAGAUGGGGUACAAAGAAUAUUUUUUUUAUGUUGUCGAAGUUCAAGAAGUCUUUUCUGCCACUAGUUUGGAAUGUCCUUUUUAAAAUGUUGUUCCGAUGCUUUACAGAAAGGGUAAGCGGUUCAAAUAAUGCUAACAAGUUAUUCCACACUCUGAUAUAUAUACUCUUUGUAUACAAACGAGAAGGUUGAAUUAGGUAAAAUUCUCUAUGUUCAUUUUAGCCAAAGUCCUUCCUCAUCGUCGAAGGAUUCAGACAUAUCUUGUGCAUAAUGUUUGUCUAUCAUAGUGAAAAAGGCUUGUGACCAUUUUAAAAUUCCUCAAAUGGCGGAUGUGCAAAUCACAAGGUUCCAAAUGAUGAAUACUGUUACGCUUAUCACCAUAUAUGUGAAGAACUUUCACUACAUUUGGGCUAUUCCAUAUGUGAUGUUAGAUAAAGUUCCACCGAAUAAUGAAAUUAUUGCAUUCUAUAGGCAGAUUUCCAAGCUUGGUGAAUUUCAUAUGUCACCAUCUAUGCAAGCUGCUUUAGAAGUUGGGAAUGUUCAAAGAUGAGAUGGUGGAAAUAGAAAAGAAAAAGUAGUUGAUGGUUAUUUUCUUUGAAAACAAAAGGCUUCAAAGAAACAUAAGAAAAAUAAAAAGGUGUCUGUAGUUGAUAAAGAUAACGAUGAUGAGAACACGAUUAGUGAUAUUCGUAUUGAGGAUGAUGUCAAUGAGGAUGAUACUACGAGAUUCUCAAAUCAUCUUACUGGUAUACAAUAUUAGACUACAAACACAGAGUCUUCACAUUUUAUUAAGCUAUUCGUUGUUUCUACGAACACUUAAACUUCUAUACAUGUUCAAAUUGAGAAUGAUAUUUUCUAAAAAUUAUGAAUGCGUCUAUUUUGAAUCUUUCUCAAAUUUAAUCACCAUCGGUUCAACCUCUAUCUCCACCACCAACAACUUCUUUAUCUCAAACCACUAUGAUUCCAAUUCUUGUUCCACCAGUGUCAUCUAUAAAAACCUCCAUUCCAUUCCAAUUCAAACUCUUAUUUUUUGUAGAACCUACUACUCCAACACAAACAUCAAAAAUUCCAAAUACCCAUACUCAAAGUAAUCCUGUUCCAGAUGUUACAAAACCAUCAGGCGAUGAUGAUGAUGAUGAGUUUGUAAUUGUUGAUGAUGAAGAAGUUGAAAUUACCGGUUCAUUUAAACAUAUUGUUGAACCGGUUCUUGCUCCAUCACUUUUGGAUGAUGAAAGUGAUUUGGAUGAAGUAUCUGUUUUUGCUCCAAUCACUAAGAAAGAAUAUCAAUUUUUGAAUAGGAAAUUGAAUGUUCUUUUUUGCAGAGCGGAUUCUUUUUCACCAAGCAAUUUUCAGAACAUGAUAACUGUGCAUGGAUCUUCAUAUUCUUCCUUAUAUCAAGCAUUUGUUUGAUGCUCAGUAAAAUUUGAUCAAUAAAACUACUGCAAAAGCUAAUGAAUCUCUUUCUAUAACUAACACAACUUUGGUUAACGUUGAUUAAUCUAUUCUCAUCGAGGUUUAAACUCUAAAAGCUUCAAUCGUUUCUAAAAUUUCUAGUAAUAAUCAAGUUGUUACUAAUGCCAUCAACACUCUUAUUUUGAACUAUGAUACUGAAGCCAAAAUGGAUGUUAUCAUUGCUGACAAAGAGAACAAGCUAAAGUCUCUGAAUUUAGAAUUAAGACAAGUGAAGAAUGAUUUUGAGAAGAAUGAUGAAGAAUUACUACUUGUCAAAGGGGAAAAACUUUAAAAUUAAUCAAAGAUUAAUUCAAAUUACAAAAGAGAAAGAUGCUUCUCAUGUCAAUUAUAUGUUUAAAAUGUUGGAUAUGAAGCUUAAUCCAAAUCUUUUGCAACUUCAAGCUAUUAAAGGUUUAGGAGUAGCGGACUACUUCACAAUAAGGGGAGAGGGUGUUAUUAAAAAAAUGUUGCUCAAGAAGAUAAUCCUCAAAUAAAUAUAAAAAAUAUAUAUGUUGUUCUUGCAAUAAUCAAGAAGGAUGAUGCUCCAAAUUACAAUUGAUCAUAGUGAUGGGUUAUAAGCAUAACUACAUCCUAUGUGUUCACGCAACCCUAAUUGCUUUGGUUCUAAGUUUUUCACUAGUUGAACACGCAUUUGAAUAACAAAGCAAUAAAACCUAGAUCUAGCAUAUAAUUUUCAAAAAUCAUAUAACAAACGGGUUUUGAGUUUACCUUGCUUAUUAUGUAGUAAUAACAAGAACUUCUGGUAGAUCCUUGACUCAUGAAAGCUUAGUGCCUCAAAUGUUGCUCCUCUAAUGACUCACAAACACCACUAGCAAGAAUAUGAGAAGGAGAGAGGAGGAAGCUCUUAGAAUUUUGGCUAGGGUUCUCUGGAAGCAAGCAUUGGCUGAAAAUCCUAAGACUAUGGGUUCCUUAUAUAGCUGAGGGAUGCUAGGGUUUCUGGAGGAAACCCUAAUUUCCUGCUUAAGGCUCAAGCAACCCAUGGACCUCCCACUAAGAAGCCUUGGACGAAAGCUAUAGGGCAUCCCACUAAAAUUUCGUCCACUCAUAAUUAAGGAGUCCAUCAGCCCUGUUUCACAACUAUCAAUGAUUUGCAAAACAACCCUUGUUCUUUUAAUCAGUUCCUUUAAUCCUAAAAUUAAUUCCAAAUUAAUUUGUGAUUAAAUACUAAUUAAAUAACAUGAUUUCUAAUUAGUAUAUUAUUUUCAUAAUACAUUAAUAUAUCAAAAGGACCAUGCUACUAUCAAAUUAACUACAUACCAAUUAACUAAGGUGAAGGCAACCUAAAAGGACCAUGCUACUAUCAAAUUAACUACAUACCAAUUAUAGUUAUGUGCUUAGACACCUAAUCCAACAGAUAGAUCAUUGAAAACGAGAUUGGAAGAGAUUACUCCUAAAAUUCCAAUCAACAUGGGAAGUGAUGCGGGAACAAGUUCUAUGAGAAUUGUUUAACAUAAUGAUGUUGAUCCAAAUGAUCCAGAAGCUGAAAAGAAGCUCAACUGAAAUAGGAUGAAGAAAUAUAAAGAAUGAAGCAAUUAAAGAUUGAGCUGAAAAACUAGAUGCUGAGAAAAACGAAAAGGAAUCAACUUAAGCUACUCUGAAAGCUUUGUGGCCAUAAGGACAGUUGAAAGAAUUCAAAAUGAAUCCAUUAAGAAUGUUGGAAAAUAUUGCCUAGAACCAAGAUCUUAUUUUGAAUUUGAAAAUACAAGCGGCUAUCAGUUAGAUCUUGCAAUGACUGGUAGAGCAUUUCUCUUUAGGAGUUUUCAACAUAUGAUUAGUGUUCCAUUAUCAAACAGUGCUACGAAUAAAAAGCUUUUCAAGUUUUAUGUUACUCAUUCACAGCCUCAAUAUGAAGUCUGGACUCUGAAGAAUAUUAGUGAUGUGAAGAAGAUUGAGGAAACAAUCAUUGUAAAACCAACCCCUUGAUAUAUUGUCUAGUUUCGAAAUGCAUGACUAAAACAACAUAUUUUGGUUUUUAUCCCACAAAAUGGUAUAAUAACUAGGUUACAACCAUUUUCGCUAGAAAUGUCAUAUUUUGUCAAAAGAAAACCUUAGUCUUUGUAGUUUUGUAAUUACAACUUUUUUUCAUGAAUAUAUAACAUAUUUUAUAUUUUGUUUUUCUUAGUUUUACAUCUCAAAACUAAGAUACCACAAAUAAGUGUUCUAAAAACUAGGGGCAACCAUAUUUCAUGCAAGUAAUGCUUUAUAUUCAACAUAGGAAUGGAACAUGCAAAAAUUUAUGUAAAUAUUCCCAAUAUUUAUUGGAUUCCCUCCCCCUCCCCCCUAAAACAUGGAAAACUGGAAAAUAUGGGGGGUAUGAACUCACCUUGAGUGUGUUUUGUUAGGUUUUGUAUACUAAAACAUCUUACGGUGCACAUAUAACCCUAAAUGCCUUGGAUCUAUGUUUUCUCUAAUUAUACAUGUAAUAGUGUUUCAAAGCAUUAAGCCUAUAACUAGCAUGCAAAUGACAUAAACAAUAUGAAAUACUAGUUAGGGUGACAUACCUUUUCUUGUGGCUUGAAAACCUUGAAGCUUUUGGCCUUUAAGAACUUAGCACCAAUAGUGUGGAUGCCUCAAAUGGAAUCAUAACACACCAUGGAUAAAGGAUGACAUUUUGAAAGAGAAUUCCAUGCACCAAAAUCGUCCAUCUUUCUCUAAGAAUAGAAGCACACAAAAAUGAUCAUGAAGUAACAUAUUUAUAUGUUGAAUUCCAAAGGUCAUGGGUAAAACCCAAAUCCAUACCCAUGGGUUUAUGAUCCAUGGUUCAUGUGGCCCAACUCUUUAUGUAUCCAUACAUAAACUUAAUCCAACAUGGAACAUAAGCCCAACACAUAUAAAUUUAACUAAUUUACACAACUAGUCCCCAUUGAUUUAAUUAGUCUCUUUUGAUCACUAAAUUAAUUCCAAACUAAUUCUUGAUCAAUACUAAUUAAAUCAUAUGAUUUCAUAUUAAUAUAUUAGAACUUAUAAUAUAUUAAUAAAUUAUAUAUAACCACUUCUCAAAAGUCCAUCCUAACAAAUCGUCAUGAUGAUAUGCAACCCAAAUAGACCAUGUUACUCUCGGGUCGUGUACAUACCAAUAAUAGUUAUGGGCUUAGACAUCUAAUCCAAUAGUCUCCCACUUGGAUAAGUCUAAAACUAUUAUUGCAAAUACGACUCCAAAAUCCCGACUAGCAAUCAUAGCUCUUAAAAACCGAUGUCGAACUCUGACCUGGUUAAUGACGUGUCAAUUAGAUACGAGAUCAUAUAUUCCUCAAUUCUAGAUAUCAUAUGGACUGAGACAUGGAUUAUAAUCAAUCUCUCUGUCCAUUUGUUGUUUCCCGAUUUCUGAUUUAUGACGACCGACUAAUUGAACAAAUCAAAUCAGUCCAGGCCCGACCAAGCACUUCGGGUUGUCAUCACUAAAUCAUCGAGAGGCCCGCAAAUAUCGCUUUUAUCCCUCUAAGGGUAAAAGGAAUGGAUAAACUUCGACUCAUAUGCUUGCUCUAUCUACUCAUCAAAUCACACACAACAAUGUGUUUUAUAAUACCAAGUUACUUGUGCAUUUUCACAUUAUCAAUGUGCAACCGACUCGUAGACUGCAACUCAUAUCUCUCCGUUUGAAGAAUAUAAGAUAUUAUCGUCUCAUGAUCACUCGUGAUAAAAUCCAUGAAGUGAUUGAAAUGAGCGCGGGUUCAAUCCAAUACUCGAAUCUUAUUCCAGGAGCACUCAUGAAUACUGCAGCUAUGUCUAAAACACCUAGGCAUACUACAAACCCAUUCAUGACAGUCUUGCCUCAAUACCUACUUCCAAAGUAUGAUCGAAUGUGGACGGUUUGAAUAACCUAGUUAUUCGGGAAGUUAAAACAUACAAAGUGAAACACAAGAAUAAUAAUAAUCCUGUAUGACCCCAAAACUUUUGAGUCAUAUUGAUUACUCAUUAUUCAUUGUAUAAUGUUUCGAAUAAUCAACAUAAUACCUGAAUUAAAACAAUAGUUGUCCCAUGCACCAAGCAUGCACACCAUGUUUACCUAUGGUCGUUUCUUUGUGGAAUAGAUCAACUGACAACAUUUCAAUGAUGCUUAUUUCACAAUUCCAAAUCCUUAUGAUAAACGUAAGAAUACCAAAAUCUUGCCAUUUUUUGUAAUCUGUCAGAUUCUAAACUUACGUGUAAUGAUCCUCUUGUAAUGACUAUGCACAAAAGUCACAAAGACUUGGCAACAGACAUUACAAAGUAUUCCAAUCGAGAGCUAUUCCAUGGAACCGAAGUCUCAAAUUCAAAGUACAUUCCUUUGUGUUAGGUUUUUUUUAUUCAAACAUCUGGUUUCACAACUGAUAAAAUUGACAACGGAAGCUUUAAAAAAGUUGAAUAAAACUAAAACUAUUUUACCCACCAAGGAUCAUUUUGCAAGAGUUAGGAAGAUUAAAAAACCCAUAGAAGGGAAAGUAUAAAAACCUUUGAAGACUUUGAUCCUCAUGGGAGGUUGGAAGUUGAUGAAGUGUAGGAUGAAACUCUAAAGCAAGAGUUCUCUACAAGUAUCCACCAAGCAAGAAUAUAACCAUCAAAACAUGCUAGUAUUCACAUGUAAUUUUUUGUUCAAAAGCCUUUGAAAUAUAUACCAAAUAUAUGUUCAAAGUUGAAGCAAAAAAGGGACCUUUUCUAGCAUCAAAAUGCAAGAGAAUGGAGGAGAAGAAGAGGGCUUAAAUCUCAAAAUUUGGCAACCCUAUAUGAGCACCAUGCUCACGGUUUUGCUAGCCAAGAAGAAGAAGAAAGAAGGCUUUCAAGCAUACCAUCUAACCUUGCAAUCCCUCCCUUAUAUAGAGGCCAAAAAGCAAAGGGAGGAGACACAAAAGUGAAAGGAUGGGACAACACUCUUCCAAGGCAUGGGACAUACUUUAAACAAAGUAAAAGGUGUGCCAUGCUUUUGUCUCCUCUUCAAUUUUCGAGAUUAGCUAAGCAUGGGGCUUAUAUUAAACAAUAAAAAAGAAAUCUAGCCUAUAUCUUAAGUCAAAUCGACCAUAAGUUCAAGGAGACAAAAGGUGAGUGUUUAUAUAAAUAUACCAACUUUAUAUAAAAGCCUAUCAUUUAUAUAAAGUGUUCCUAAUAUUUAUAUAACAUAUAACUAGUCAUAUAUGUAUGAAUAUCUCUUUUUUAUAAAACUAACUUUUAUAUAAAUAAACUCUAACUAGUUUAUUAAUAUAUAAAUACAAGUUAUAAAUAAUCAUACUUUAUGAUAUAUUUCAUAAGUUGUUAUUUCUCUAAUAAAUAUUAUUUCCACAAAUAAUAAAUUCCCAAUUAGUAAAAUAUUAUUUCCAUGAAAUAAGAAUUUUCCAAUUAAAUACAAGCGUUGAUACAUUUAUUAAUAAUCAAAUUAUACUAAUAAAUAAUUAAUUGACGGUAACUUGCUAUAUGAUGUGACCCUAUAGGAUCAUAUAUUAUUAGCAAUAUCAUUAUAUAAUGACUCUUGGGCAUACUAGAUCUUUCAAUCUCCCACUUGCACAAGACUUAUCAUAGAUUGAUAUAGACAAUGGUAAAUGUCUUACAACAUUUGACUACCCAUAAUAACAUAUGAUGAAGAAUGCCAUUCAUCGACAUCCAAUUCCCAAAAGCUUUAAGCUUCAAUUGAUGUAUAAAGGUAAGUUUAUGAAUUAUCCCUUUGUUACAGACAUCCUAUUGAAACAUGAUCCUUGGAUCGCAAUCAAUCUCAUUUGUAAUUCAACUUUGGGUAACGCGCGUCAAAUAUCUUACUCUCAACGAAUAAGAGGAACAAAUCUCAUCUUGACUGCGUAAGCCUCUUGCAUAGUUCACACCACACCUAAAUAUGACUUUUAUAACUGCUCGGUCAAGGAACAACAUUUUUCCAUAUCAAAGCACAAUAAUCCCUAUACUUAAGUCCCACUAUGUAUCUCAGGUGUGUUAAGGAUACAAAUAUAGUACCUUUUAAUCAAGUAUCACUCACGACUGCGAUCUAUGAGUUGAUCUUGAUGCGAGUCCGUUCAGUACUAGUUCUCUGACAAGUCCCUAUGAAACUUGGUUACAACCACUUGCCUACUUUCAUCUAGUGAGAUUCAACCAAUCCAUUUCCUUUUAGUCUUACUUCAUUAUUACUCCCACAAUCAUGACCGACUAUGAACCUUUAGAAUAAUAAGAUUUUUCAUGGAUUAAACAUGUUAAUAUAGGACACAACAAGUAUUAAUGUAAUGAUCAUAUCCUAGUAUUUCAAAACAUUAUUUCAUAGUUGUUGUUACAAUGUUCCAAUAUCCAAAUACUAAAUUCAAAUCAAAGUCCCAUUAAUAGAAUAAUAAUAAAAGUCUUUUGGCUUAAGUGUGACCACUCAUACUUAGCUUAAAAGGAAAGCUUUAUUAAUGGGUUCAACUAAAUUUAAUUUGUGUGAAUUUCUCGAAUACGAUAUCUCCAUAUUUUACUUUUCCUCCUUGCAACUCGACGGGUACACACACAUGCCUAUCCAAGGGAAAAGCCAUCCAACUCGCCGAAUUGUUCUUCAACUCGUCGAGUUUUAUGGUGAUCUUCCUCGGACUCGCCGAGUUGUUCAUCCAACUCGCCGAGUUCAAUGACCAUCUUCAUGUGACUCGCCGAGUUCAUUCUUGCGACUCGCCGAGUCCAUCCAGUCCUCUUUCCAUACAGACUUGUUUUGAGCCAUGCAGCAGCUCCGUAUCACAGAUCCAAGCUUCUAGGGCAUACUUACCAUGUAAAGUUGCAAACUUUACAUGCAUGCAUGGUUAUAAAGGCUCCAAAUGUCUAUUUUAAGUUCUUAAUGGAGCUUCUAGUCCAAGAGGGACUUCCACCACAACCAAUACAACAACUUUAUGACUCUAGCAUCCAAGGAGGGUCCAAAUCUAAAGUUAUAACUUCAGAUCUAGCCCAUAGAUCAACAUCCCAACUUGAAAAUCCAUAAAAAGCCCUAGAUCUCAACAAAAAGGAAGAAAAGGAAGUAAGAAUGGCACUUUGAUACCUUCAAACGAUGAUAGCUGAGGAAAAACUUGCUUCCCACUCCUUUCUUGCUUCAAUUUCCUUUGCACUCUUAGCUUCCUUCCUCCAAAAUCCUCUUUUCCAAGCUUUAAACCCACACCAAAGCACACACACUCAUGAGUUAGGGUUUCAAGGGCUCUCAAAGACUGUAAGGAGGCCCAAAGGAGGCUGAGGCUCCUUUAAAUAGGGGUGCAAACCCCAGGAUUUAGGGUUUCAUCUGCUAGCUCCUACUCGCCAAGUCCCAAUACUGGACUCGCUGAGUAGGUCACNUGGAGCUUCUAGUCCAAGAGGGACUUCCACCACAACCAAUACAACAACUUUAUGACUCUAGCAUCCAAGGAGGGUCCAAAUCUAAAGUUAUAACUUCAGAUCUAGCCCAUAGAUCAACAUCCCAACUUGAAAAUCCAUAAAAAGCCCUAGAUCUCAACAAAAAGGAAGAAAAGGAAGUAAGAAUGGCACUUUGAUACCUUCAAACGAUGAUAGCUGAGGAAAAACUUGCUUCCCACUCCUUUCUUGCUUCAAUUUCCUUUGCACUCUUAGCUUCCUUCCUCCAAAAUCCUCUUUUCCAAGCUUUAAACCCACACCAAAGCACACACACUCAUGAGUUAGGGUUUCAAGGGCUCUCAAAGACUGUAAGGAGGCCCAAAGGAGGCUGAGGCUCCUUUAAAUAGGGGUGCAAACCCCAGGAUUUAGGGUUUCAUCUGCUAGCUCCUACUCGCCAAGUCCCAAUACUGGACUCGCUGAGUAGGUCACUAAACACGUGUUCUCACCCCGCUGCUACUCGACGAGUAAGUCGACCAACUCGUCGAGUAGAGCUUCAUCCAUAAAUUCUUAAUUAAUUAAUACUUGAGGAUCGGGGCGUUACAAUUCUCCCCCACUUGAACUAGACUUCGUCCUCGAAGUCUGCUGAAGAAAACAAUGUCGGGUAAUGCUCGCGUAUUUCCGCUUCCGACUCCCAUAUCCACUCGGAUCCCCUCCAAUGUUCCCACUGCACCUUUACUAAAGGUAUUUCCUUAUUCCGCAGAAUCUUCUUCUUCCUUUCCAAAAUAGCUACAGGCCUUUCCACAUAGUUCACGCGCUCAUCGACCUGAAUGUCAUCCAACAAUACCACUGCUUCCUGGUCCAUAACGCACUUUCGCAAUUUCGAAACAUGAAAUGUGCUAUGGAUCCGACUAAGUUCCUCCAGAAGCUCUAGCCUAUAAGCCUCCCUGCCAACCUUGGCCACAAUCCUGAACGGUCCGAUGUAUCGGGGACCCAAUUUUCCCCUCUUCCUGAAGCGGAUCACACCCUUCCAGGGUGAGACCUUCAGGAGAACCAUGUCACCCUUCUGAAAUUCCAACUCAGAUCGGCGUCGAUCAGCGUAACUCUUCUGUCGACUCUGAGCGGUCUGCAGCCGCUGUCUAAUCUGCUGUAUCAUCUCGGUAGUUUGCAGAACUACCUCUAUCCGACCCAUCACCCUGUGCCCAACCUCGCCCCAACAGACUGGGGUCCUACACUUCCGCCCAUACAACAGCUCGAAAGGCGGGGCGCCAAUAUUGGAAUGAUAGUUGUUGUUGUAGGCGAACUAUACAAGCGGUAGGUGGGAAUCCUAACUCCCACUGAAGUCAAUGACGCACGCCCUCAACAUAUCUUCGAGGGUCUGAAUGGUACGCUCACUCUGCCCAUCAGUCUAUGAAUGGAACGCUGUACUAAAAUGCAGCCUCGUGCCUAGUUCCUCGUGGAACUUCUGCCAAAAACGGGAAGUUAAUCGGACAUCCUGAUUGGAAACUAUGGAAACUGGUACCCCGUGGUGAAAGACAAUCUCGCGGACGUAUAGGCGGCCAACUUCUCCGCCGACGAACUCUCUCGUAUAGCUAGGAAAUGGGCGCUCUUGGUGAAUCGAUCCAUAAUGACCCAUAUAGCGUCGAAACCCUUUGCCGUCUUCGGCAACUUCGUGAUGAAAUCCAUCGUAAUCCAUUCCCAUUUCCACAUGGGAAUCUCUAGGGGCUUCAACUUACCAUGCGGCCUCUGGUGCUCGGCCUUGACCAUUCUGCAGGUCAAGCACCUCUCAACGCACCAAGUGAUAUCUCGCUUCAUCACAGGCCACCAAUAACUCAAAAUCAAAUCACGGUACAUCUUGGUAGCCCCCGGGUGAAUAGAAAAAUGAGACUUAUGAGCCUCCUCCAUCACUGUCUACCUAACUCCUCCGGUCAUCGGAACCAAAACCUGACCAUAUCAGGUCAAUAGCCCGCGACUAUCCUGAACAAACCGGGCGCUUUCGCCCUUAAUCCUUUCCAAUUUCCAAUUCUCCGGUUUCAUACCCUCGAUCUGAGCAUCCCUGACCAACCCCACCAGUAGGGAAUCCACCGCUAUCCUCAUACAUCUGGCUGGGGUAGAAGACCCAACUAAAUUGCGGCUCAGAGCGUUCGCAACCACAUUCGCUUUACCAGGAUGGUAAAAGAUCUCGCAAUCAUAGUCCUUGACUACAUCUAGCCACCUGCGCUGCCUCAUAUUCAAGUUCGGAUGAUCCAUUAUGUGCCUCAAACUCUUGUGAUCCGUGUAUAUGGUACAACGGACCCCAUACAGAUAGUGCAUCAAAAUAUUGAGAGCGAAGACCACCGCUCCCAGCUCAAGAUCAUGCGUGGGGUAUCUCGUCUCAUGCGGCUUCAACUGUCGCGAUGCAUAAGCUAUCACUCGCCCCCUCUGCAUGAGGACUGCCCCUUAGCCUGUGAUGGACGCAUCACAAUAUACCACAAAAUCCUCCACUCCCUCGAGGAGUGUCAACACCGGCGCCUCGCAUAACCGCUGCCGGAGGGUCUCAAACGCCCUCUGCUGCUCCGGGCCCCACCGGAAAUCUACUCCCUUCCUCGUUAGACAAGUGAGGGGUACGGAAACCUUGGAGAAAUCACGAAUGAAUCUCCGAUAAUACCUUGUUAAUCCCAGAAAACUCCUGAUGUCUGAGGGAGAUCUCGGAGUCUCCAACUGCAUAACCGCCUCCACCUUGGCCGGAUUAAUCAAAAUCCCAUCCUGGUUAACGAGAUGUCCAAGGAACUGAACCUCUCGCAACCAGAACUCACACUUCGAGAACUUGGCAUCAAGCAGUUCUCGUCGCAGCACCUCCAACAGUUCCC
rnacentral:lncRNA from 1 species